rnacentral:lncRNA from 1 species
AUCCUGUGAUGCUCAGCCUCAGAGUAGCCGAGGACCACCACCUCACUCUUAUCAAAGUUAAUCUUAAGUCCAGACAUUUCCUCGAAGCAGAGCAAAAGGAACUUAAGAUUGGCAAUGUCCGAGUCCGAGCCUGAGACCAUGAUCAUGGUGUCGUCUGCAUAUUGGAGGUGUGACACCCCACCCCCCGGGAUGAGGUGACCAACCACCCCCUGGAUAUGCCCGGCUAAUCUCGCCUUAUCCAGGAUGCCGGCAAGGGUGUCCACGGCGAGAUUAAACAGCAGGGGGGAGAUAGGGUCCCCUUGCUUUACCCCCCUGGAAGCCCAAAAAAAGGGGCCUAGUUCACCAUUGAUAUUGAUGGCGGUGCUACCAGAUCGAACCAGCUGCAUAAUCCAGGUGCACCACCUCUCGUCAAAUCCGCGCCGCUGCAACACUAACCUCAAGAAGGACCAACCAAGACGGUCAUACGCCUUAUGGAAGUCCAAUUUGAGAAUGACCCCCUUCAAUCCCUUGGACGCCACCUCAUGGACAAUCUCGUGAAGGGCAAGAAUUCCGUCAUGAAUCUUCCUACCCUUCAGGAAUGCGGACUGAAGGGGGUGCGCAAUCCGUUCGGCCACAGGGGACAGACGAGUGGCGCAGACUUUAGCAAAAAUACGCGCCACCAUGUUAAUCACCGUAAUAGGCCUAAAUUGCCGAAUCUCUGCAGCCCCAAGUAGUUUGGGGAUGAGGGCAAUGACUCCAUAGUUAAUCCUGCCCAUGUCCAGAGUGCCUAUAUAGAAUUCAUGGAACAUGGGCAUGAUAACUGGGUGCACGGUCUCCCAGAAUUGCUGGAAAAAACCACCGGGAGGCCGUCUGGCCCCGGGGUCGAGCACACCUUCAUAGAAGCGAUUGUCUGGCCAACUUCCUCCGAGGAAAAUGGGAGAGUGAGUUCCGCAUUCUCCACGUCGGACACCUGAUCAGCUAGCGGCCAGAAGUCCUCACAGAGAGAGGAGCCUCCCCGCAGAUCGGCCGAGAAUAACUCCUUAUAGAAGGAGUAAAUAUGGGAUGAGAUGUCUUCCGGCUUUCCAGAACAGCAUCCCCAUCCCGGAGGAAAGGGAUGACACAUUUCCGCCUUCGGCCGUUGGCGAUGGCCUGAAAGUACGCGGUGUUUGCGUCCCCCUUGAGGAGCCAGUUCUGGCCACCUCGACGUUGCCAGAACAGUUCCUCGGAGCUGAAGAUGCCCAUGAGCUCAGCGUCGAGGGAUUAUGUCUGGAUCCAGUCAUCCGGGGACAGACCUGUACCGUCCGCCAAGUCAUCUAGGGUCUUAAUCUGGCCUAGCAAGGCCCCUUUACGGGCCCGGAGAUCAGCGCCCAAGUUAGCACCCCAGCCCUUCAUGGCCUGGCGCGCCAUCUUGGCACAGUGAUGCCAAAUGUCCACCGCACAAUAGACACGCGGCGGGGAGGCGGCAGCCCAAUGCCACUGGUCGCGGACCAACUCGCGGAAACCAGGCUGAUCCAACCAAAAAGUCUCAAAGCGAAAGCGCCGUGAUCUAGGGGGGAGCCUUCCCCCGACGAGAAGAGCAGGGGCGUAUGGUCUGAGCCAAUCUGCGUGAUGGCCCUAAGCCCGCACAGGAGGAACAUCACUUCCCACUGAGGCGACACAAAGACCCGGUCUAGAACACUCCGGACGGGGUCCGCCUGCUUGUUCCACCACGUGAACCUGGCCCCUACGCGAGCUAUCUCACGUAGCGCCAAGUCUGCAAUGCAGUCAUUAAAAAGACGCAUCUGGGGUCGAUCUACAUUCUGAGAGCUUUUAUCAGAAGCCCACCUAAUAAAUUAAAAAUCACCAGCCACCACUACAGGGGUGGUGCACCUAUCCACCUUAUUCUUUAGCUCGGCGAGGAAUUCUGCGGAGCGGGCAUGGUCUGCCGGACCAUAGACAAUAAUCACCUCCCAGCUGAGGUGGGUACGUCGGUCGGUGAUGGCCAUGCUCACAAUGAACUCCCCCCGGUCCAUGUCCUCCACCGAGAACGCCUCCUCCCGAACACCAAGCAGGAUUCCCCCAGAGUGGCCCGAUGCAGGGAGCCACUGCCAGGAGAACUGGUGGCGGGAGAGCCUCUGAAGCUCGAGCAUGCUAAAGUCCUACCGAAUCGUUUCUUGCAGCCCUACUAUGUCAAUCUCUUCUUGACGCAAAUACUCAACAAGUUGCCGCCGCCGGCCAGGGAGGCCGAAGCCCCUAAUGUUCCAACAUAGGAGCUUCAUUUAACAAUCUCGCCUGGAUUUCUAGGCCCCGCAAGCGGGGCCGAACUAGCCCGCCCGUCAACCUCGAGGCGGGGGAGCGCCUUAGAUGGACGACCCCGGUGUCCCCGAGAAGAGGGGACAUCGGAGGUCGCCGGGCCAGAGGAGGGAGCUCCGGGGCCUGACACUCGCUCCUCUCCACGUGUCUCAGUGGGGUUGAGACGGGUAGGCGGCCGCCCCCUGGGCUUCCGGACAGAGGGAAGCCCACCUAUGGGCGGCACAGGACCAACUGCAACCGCUGCCGGAGGUGCGCCACCAGCCCUGGUCUCUCUAUGACCAGGACCGGCGUGCACCGGGGGAGAGGGGGAGUUGGAGCGCGCGGCGAGACAGCGCGCUUCCGCUAACACCCCCUCAAGCCUCUCUUUCGCACAGAGGGCGGAGAUAUGCUCAAGAGGGGGACCUUUCUCCCCCCGAAACACAAUACUACUGUUCGCAGCCACAACAGCCAAAAGGGGCACCAAAUCGCUAGAGAGAACAGAAAACCAAGAACCAGAGCCAGAAGGGGGAGGAGAGGAGGCGUACCUGGGAACAGAUCGCGGGCCGCAGCACGCCGGGCCGCCAGCUCAGGCAUCGUCGGGACGCGGCCGUCCUGAAGGGUCCGGGACUGGCUGAUCCGAGCGCUCUGACGUGCCGACACGAUGGGGGAAGUGCCCUCCCGAGGCCGAGAGCGGGGCACAGGAGGGUACUCGGGCGCCCAACCAGGGUUGACGACCACCGGAGGGCGCGAAUCCGGGGACCCCAAGGUUGGGGAAGGGGGGAACUCGGAGAGCACGAGUAGCAAACCACCCCUGGCGAGCGCGGGGACGAAGCAGGGCAGACCUCCAUACCCACACUCACCUCCUCCUCAGCAGCGACCACCGGGAUAGGGGAAGCAGGGAGAGUGAUCUCCAUGCCUACCACCACCACCGGCGCCAAAGUACCCACCGUGGAGCCUCCUGCGAGCCCCGACUGGCCAACACCCGAGGGGGCGGGGGUGCGCCGACCGCCAGAUGGCUCGGGCGGAGCCCCGACCGUAUCAUCGUCCCCCUCAGAAGAAGGCCCCUCCUCCGACGAGCCCCCCUCCUUGUCAAGACCCCCGUCGGCAGGCUCCAGCCCAGGCGGGACCGGAUCUAGCUGAGCCGCUGAAGCCGGGGACUCGAGCUCGAAGGUCAGACGCCUGCCCUUGGACCCAAAGUAGAAGACCAAAGACAACCCGUCAAUCUCAGCAGGAGCCGGGCAGAGAAUCUCAAUGCGGGCAGGGCCAUCAUCCUCGAAAGAUGCCAGGUCGGCGGUGAUCAGUUUGCCCAUGGGUUUAGAGAUGGCUUUCAGAAUAUGACUGAGCUUGCCACCCCGCGGAGCCGCACUGCCCCCCCUUGGGAGGCCAUAGACGAGGACCCAAACCUUCUCCAAGGGAGGGACGGGGUCAGGCUCUGACAUGGCCGCCUGGACGCUGAUCGGGAGCUGGUUGAGGGGACACCGGAUAGGACCAUGCGAGCAGACCCGGAGUAGCUCGGCCGAGGGGAAGGGGACCGAGAAGACCAGGGGAGCCGUCUCAGUCACCUCCCAUGCGAACUCAGAGCCGCGAAAGUCGCCAAUGUAGGCCGCAAGCUCAUCCUGGAUGAGGUCAGACGAGAUCACCAGGCCAUCCGGGAUAGGCUGCUCGGGCUCCAAGGUGACCGUCGCUAGGUGAGGACGAGCAGCUACCUCCUCAAUCUCCGCAUCCACGAAGUAGAAGCUUCCCCGCUCAGUGCCAUACCCAAGAUAGGCAAGAAUCGUGGGGCACCGUGGGGGAGCCUCACACUCCGAGCGGUAGUGCCCGGUGCACCCGCAGUUGAUGCACAUCGUGUCCUCGCGGGAGCGCUGGCGGGUAGCACGAGCAGGGGGUCUAGAGCCUCAUGCUCAGGAGCCCCCUGAGCUCCUGGCGACGUCAGGCCGCCAGCACCGCCAACAGCCUUCUUCUUCUUCGACUUCAUCUUCUUCUUAACCGGGGUCGGGCGGGAAGCGGAGCAGCAGGCAGGGCAUCUGGGGACACGUGCCUAGAAGGCCCGUCGUCCCGGCACCAGUCCGCACCCGUCGCCCGAGAGGAGCGCCAGUCAGCCCGACGUCCAUCAUCACCGCGCCGCAUUGGCGGCCCGCCCCACCGCUCCCCCGGGCGGUGGUCCUGGCGAUCACGGGGCGGCCCGCCCCACCGCUCCCCAGGAAGGCGCCGCGGGGCGGUGAGCGAGGUCCCGAGCCGGGGGGUAGCGGGGCGCUGGCUCCUCACACGGCUGAGAUGCCGGAGUGGGGCGAGCAACCAACUCUGCACACAGAGUCGCUUCCCGGUCCAGGUCGGCCGCGCGGGCGGCCUCCAGGCGGCGACGGUCCCCCGGCGAACCCGGCAACGGCAGGCGGGGAUCCCUCUCCGGAUCACGAGGGGGAGGCGGACGGCGAAGGGAGGUCCCGGAGUAGUACUCCGGGGACUUCCCCGGCCGGGCAGACCCACCGCGCCCGGAACGGGACGAGGCAGCACCCCCUUCCAUGGCACGGUCACGGGCGGCGGGCAGCGCCUUCAACACCGCGCGAGCCUGGUCACGAGAGGUUGGCGUAGGGAGGAGCCCCUGCCCAGCCGGGAGAGGCCGCUUCGGUCGGGCCUGGCCGUUCCCGGCGUGGCGUGUCAUGAGCACGUCCCGGUAGGAGCGCCGUGGGGAGGGGAUGGGGAGCAGGUCCGGGCGCCGGGCAGCAGACGAGGGCGCGUCGCCGGCAGUGCAGGCGAGGACGGACGAGGUGGAGGGAGCUCUAUGGCUGACGGGACGGGGCGAGCGGGGCCUGGGGAACGGCCGGCGGGACGGGGCGAGCAGGGCCUGGGGAACGGCGGGGACGUCCGCGCCCGACGGGAGAGAGCGAGAGGAAAGGGAGCGGGAGCCCGACCGGAGAGAGCGAGAGAAACGGGAGCGGGACGGGGCGAGGCUGCGAGGUGGCGGUGGCGCACGCUCGGCAGGGUAAACCCUAUCCCCGAGCCGGUCCUCCCGACGCAGGCCUGGGCCGGGACGCGAGCAUGGGGGAGGCCCAGGUGGGCAUCGGCCCACUGCCGGUUAACCUUCUCCAGGACUCGGGAGACGCGGCGGGAGGCCCAGGCCAUCUCGCUAGCUGAGAUGGGCCCAGGCCCCGUUCGCAGCGGCCCAUGGGGAGAGCCGGCCCAUCCGUCCGCCAGCCGGCCAGGGGAGUUAGGGCAUGGGGGAGGGGACUGACGAGGCACUCGGGCACCUCCCGCUGCCGCCGGCACCGCCGCCGCCGCCACAGGAGGCAGGGCACCAGCGCCUGGUCGGGGCUCGCGGGGGCCCUCUCCGGCGACCGCCAUGGGGGACAACCCAGGCAGCAAACCGGCUCGGGCCAAGGAGGGGAGAGGGGGAACCACAGGGGGACAGUGCACCGGCGACCGCCGCCCGACCUCCUUCCCCGGCCGCCGGCGGGCAGGGCGCGCCGCAGCCAGGAACGAGCCGAGCAGCGGCGGUGCCAGGGACACCGGCAGCUCCAACCGGUCAUCACCAUCCGAAGAGGCCUCCAUGUCAUCGGGGUCGGGAUCGUCCGUCCAGUCCGCCCAACGUCGCGGCGACCGUUGGAAGCAGAGGGAGGGCGCCCCCGGCGGGGGAAGCGGGGGCAUCGCGCUCACGCAGCACGCCGGCCGACCGCCGUCAGCGGGCACCGCGCAGCUUCAGGUCUCGGCCCGCCGGAGAGGAGCCGCCCAUCGCUUCUUCUCUUCAGGAAUCUAGUCGCCGGCCCACAAGUGGGGUGAUGAACAAGCUAAUGCGAUUUAAAGUAAUCAUACCUCGUCCUAAGAAAUUAAAAGUGAAUUCAUACUGUGCAGCUAGAAAAAGAAUCAUAAAAGUAUACAAGCGCAUGUGAAAAGAAAAAGAUGAACAACUUGCCACUUCAUAUAGGUGAUCUAAUUAACUAAUUUAGGGUUCGAAUAACUUUGUUUCCCCACAAUCAUGACAAAGUGAACCUUUUGUUGAAAGCCGGAAUUCUGCAAUAAAGCUGCAAUGGUAGAUCUAUUUUUAUCAGGGAAUCUACCAUGCUGAGCUGCUGCACACAAGGCGUUCUCACUCACGAGUCGCAAAAAAGAGUUGGUGAGUUAUUAAAAAAGAAGACAAAGAGGACGAGUGAGUUGCACCAAAAUUAAAUACUUCCUUCAUUUCAAAAUAAAUGUCUCAAUUUUAUACUACCUCUAGUAUAAGAGCAUGGUUAAUAGUAUAGUCAACUGCUGGCUAUAAGCUAUCUUAUAGCCUAUCUUAUAGCUAGCUUGUACAAUAGUUAGCUAUAAAAGAGUACUACUUUUAUUCUAUAUGGCCCACCUUUCAUUUUCACAAAGCACCUACGAGCACGUGCUAGAGCUGGCUCUUUACGAAGAGCCCGCUUCCCUUCUCACUCCUAUUCUCUCUCAUCCAACUCAGCAAAAAUACAGUAUUUUAAUCCUUACAGCCUGCUGACUGUACCUUAUUGUACUUGCUCUAAAGUUGUACUCCCUCCGUUCCAAAAUAUAAGACCUUUUAGAGAUUUAUUAGAAGACUACAUACGAAGCAAAAUGAGUGAAUCUAUACUCUAAAAUAUGUCUAUGUACAUCCGUAUGUAGUUCAUAGUGCAAUCUUUAAAAUGUCUUAUAUUUAGGAACGGAGGGAGUAUUAAGUUUGAGGCGGUUAUAUUGAGACGGAGAGAGUACUAGAUAUACGUAAUCUGAAAUAGUGGAGUACCAAAAUUAUAGGCCUCUAUGAUUAGGAGGAUUUUCAUAAAACAUUUGGAAAGUUGUGAUACUUGAGAAUUUUUCCUUUAUCGCUUAUCUGAUUCGUAGAUUGACUCCUAUAGGAUUUUCUCCUAUGGAUUCCCUUUGACUGCACAUUUCAUGAAAAAAAACAUUAGUUUGCCAUGAUAAUUUUUCACCAGGAUGCACAAAAAAUGAACUAGUUCUGAAAGGUUUAUUGGCUUCAUUUGGAUUUACUUAGAAUCAGCUCAUAUUAGCAAUAAUUAAAGAUGGCCGAACGAUGGCGCCGUCUCCCUCCCGACCCGGGGCCGCAUGCAGCCCCUCUCCCUCUGCCCCCCUCCUCCUGUCGGUGCCCUCGGAUCUGGUCCGGGUGGUGUUGGCGGUGGCGGGAUCUCCAUUACCUGUGCGCGGACGUCCUUCCCGAGGCAGGGGAUCGACGGUGGUGCGGCUCGGCCUGCUGUGGUCCGACGACCUAGAGGUGGUGGCCGGCAGCCGACGUGGUGGUGGCGCUGCUCCUUGGCGGCGGGGUGGCCUAGCGGCACGGGGUGGCCGGCUGCACGACCCCGGGCCAGAUCAGGGCCCAUAAGGCCUCAUCUAGGUCCUAGGGGACUGGCUCUGGCAUGGACUUGCUGCCUCCUGUACAGGGAUGAGGAGGGGCGGGUUGAAAGGGGGGCCGCGAUGCCGACGGUGUGCUUUCUGCAGCGCGAUGGCAGGAGCUUUAUGGGUAUUUGUGGGGCCAUGAGCCUGGUUUGCUCCUGCCGAUGUGUCCGGUCGGUUACUGUCGUUGACGAUGGAAGUCGGACCCUCCCGCAGGCCGCCGGUGUUGCUUCCCCUAGUCCCGACUCUUCUUCUUCGAUGUGCAGGCCUCACUUCUCGGUGUCCUGGUGAGACAGUGUGGGUCGCUUCAAGAUUGUGCUUGCGCAGGGCGGUGGGUGGUAUGGUGGAGUCCUCCGGAACGCCCGUGGUGAUGCGUGGGGAUCGGGACGUACAAAUCCUUGUCGGCCUGUUCGACACCGACACGGUGACGCCUGAGGGUGUCGACGGACCUUCCUGGAGGGUGUCGGGUGCUACCCUUUCUUUGUCCUCGUUGUGUAUCGGGGGAAACCCUUGGCAGCAGCGCAGUCAUCGUCGUGUCCCUUCUUGGAGGUGUUGAUUGGUAUCGGCGCUUCGAAGGCUAGGAUCUUGGUGGAAGAUCUUCGAUGGGCGCAACGAUCGCGGGGCCUCUUCAUUUUUGUCGAUCCAUCAUUGUUGGCAUCUAUUCCUUUUGCAUUUUCUUUUUCCCUUCCUUUUGGACGUGAUUGUGAUGUCUCCGUCCCAGCACUUAUUGAUGGAUAUAUCGGGCAUUUGCUAUAUUAAUAUAGCGAGGCGAACGCGUGCUUCGAAGAAAGAUGGACGAACUUACCAACCAUAUUACUUGUGCUUAUUUAUUUUCUUCUGUUACAACGCACAAACAUAUUUGCUAUUUGAACUAAAUCACAUUGCCAAUUGCUCGUCUAUCAUGUCAAAUCAGAACCACGCAUCUAACCCUCCCAAGAUGUAGAUCGAUCGGUUUUACUCGGCAUUCAUUAUGGAUCGGAGGGAGUACUCCUAGAUCAUAUUCAAAAUUGCUCCACGCCACAAAUAAAACUGCACGGUACAUAUGGUAAAUCUGGGAAAGUGAUUUGCGUGGUAUGUGUGCCAUAAUCAACUGAAUUAUUGGACUAACCGCAUCAAGAUCGGAUCACAUCGAUCCUAUCCCCGUCGACGAGACUGUCCUCGAAUCAAAAUAUUUCUCCAAUGGACGCUCGUGUCCCACGCUCUGAAAGCGACGCCUUUUGUUUUGUCAGUUAAUUUUCACGUCAAGCUCACACCCACGCACGCACCGUGUAGGAUCCACGGCUCGACGCACCUCCCCUUCCCUCCCCUUCUCCCUAUUUAACGAGCUAGCCACCCCCACGCUUUUUGCACCUCAGCAAGCACCAACACACACACACACACAAGAAAUGGCGAUGGCUAGGACGACGACGCUCCUCCUCGUCGCCGCAGCUCUCCUCGCGGCCUCAUGCAGCGCAUGGGAGGUCAACAUCCGCAUGCCGACGUCGGCGGCGGACGUGGACGAGGCGGUGGUGGCGCCGCUGAUCCACGCGCUGCGGCCGCUGCUGGGCUCCGGCAAGCACGCCGGAGUGGCGUGCGACAGCUGGGUGCUGGGGGUGGAGGCGCACAACGUGCGGGACUGGAAGACGGUGCCCGCGAGCUGCGAGGGCUACGUCGGGCACUACAUGCUCGGCAGCCAUUUCCGCCGCGACUCCAAGGUCGUCAUCGACCAGGCCCUCGCCUACGUCGACUCCCUCAAGCUCGCCGGCAACGGCAAGGAGGUCUGGGUCUUCGACAUCGACGAGACCACCCUCUCCAACCUCCCCUACUACGCCAAGCACGGCUUCGGGUACGUACUUACACUCUUGUAUACAUUACAUAGACACUACUGAUUCUACGUGUAGUGCAUGCAUUAGACUUGCUAUUUACUGCAGGUACAUCCGACCGAGCAGGGACUUGCACUCAUCUUUUCACUAAGAUGAAGUGUAAAUAAUCUGACUAGAUAUAUAUUGUAAAAAAUCAACUCACUAGCUAGCUAAAAAAUACCAGCGAGAUCUGUAAUGAAUGAAAAUUGGAAAGCACAUAAGGAUAGAAAUAUUGGAAAUAAAAAGGAAUAUAAUCACUAAGUAGAAAAGUACUUUAAUCACAAGUGUUGGACACUUGGACAUCAUCAUUGCCAGUAGGACUCGGGCCAUAUGUCCCUAGUAUGAAUGGCCAACAAAACAAGAAGGAAACAUACUAUAUUUUGAGAUAGAGAUGUGAUGUUGAUGGGCAUGCGAAUGUGGUGGCCGGGUAGGACCGUAUAUGUUGUCCACUUGGCUACUUUAUGGAAAUGUUCUAAUUAUGUUAUGCUAGUCAACUCAUACUUUCUAAUUAUGUCAUACUUUUGUACACAUACACACUAUUGUAGUGCAUUAUACUCCCUCUCUAUCUAAAUACUUAGAGUUCGAAAGAACUAGGUGCAUUUCAGCAGGGGCUUGCACUGAUCUAUUCGUUCAGAUAAAAUAAAUAUCUUACUAGACCUCGUUCAAAUGAACUCACUAGCUAGAAAGCACUAGUAUCAUAAGAUUUCUAAUGAAUGAAAGUGGGAAAACAAAUGAGACUAGAAGUGGAAACAAGGAAUAUACUCACUAGCUAGAAAAGUAUUAAUUGGACGUGUUGGACACACUUAGGCAGCAUCAUUGCUGGUUACCUCAAAUCAGUCACAGAGACGGCCAUCAGGACCAUAAAUAUGUCCCGCCUAUGAAUGGUCAACAAAACAAGAAGGAAACAUAGUACUAUAGUUUGAGAAUAUGGUGGCCGGGGUAGGACCGUAUAUGUUCUCCACUUGGCUACUUUAUGGAAACGUUUAUUUCCAGCUGUCCUUAUCAGCCGAUACGUUCUAAUUAUGUUAUGCUAAUCGAUUGAUAUUUUCUGAUUAUGUUAUGCUAAACUUAGUUCAGAUGGAUAGUACUCCGAUACGUUUUCAUUAUUUUAUGCUAAUCUGAGUUUAGAUGGAUAUAAUUACUUAUUUUAGAAGAUGUGAGAGGUCAGAACAUCUUGUGCAUAGUUAGUAGUUACAUGCUACUCCCUCCGUUCCUAAAUACAAAUCUUUUAAAAGAUUUCACUAGUGGUCUACAUAUGAAGCAAAAUGAAUGAAUUUAUACUAUAAAAUAUGUUUAUAUACAUUCAUAUGUAUUACUCUAACCUCUAAAAAGAUUUAUAUUUAAGAAUGGAUGGAGUACAACUCUAUUCCUCUUUUCUCAAAUAGUUGAACACUAUUCCUCUUAGUUAAGAAGAUUCUCUUGAACCAAGAUGGAAACUAACUUGAAAUGUAGUAGAAGUCUAGGUGAUAUCUAGCCAACAUGAUGAUACCAGUUUAGUUCAAAACAUGAUUAACUAGCUCCGGAUAGCUUGCUUGUGUAUAUUUUGAAUGUGAUGAGGGAGCUAGUUCGUUGUGAUUUAAAAUAAACUGUACCUUGCCGUAAGAACUUUAAAGUGGAUCUACACUGGGCGGCUGGAAAAAGAUACAUAAAAGUAUAUAUAUGCGCAUCAAGGAAAAAAGAAAGAUCAAAAGCUUAUAACAGCAUGUCUAACUAAUCGAGCGGUUCAAAUAACUUUGUUUCAUCACAAUCAUGACAAAAUUAACCUUUUUUGUUGAAAGUCGGAACUCUGCAAUAAGGUUGCAAUGGUAGACCUAUUUUACCAAAGGAAUCAACAAAGCUGAGCUGCUGCGUACAAAGCUGUGCACGAUGAGAUUAAAUACUACAACUGCGUUUUCGGUCCAACAAAACAGUAGCGUGAUGAUGCCGGAGUGAACCUCGCUAUGUCACAUUCAUUGAUUUACUCCACUUGACCAACUUAAUUUACGACGUCCACAACUACGUACUGCUCAUGCACGUGCGUUACGUACAGAUACAGAGCAUCAUUGCGUUUACGUAUUGCCCAUCCCCUUGGCCAUUUGGCCACUUGGGCCAUAAUCUAGGUUGCCUAUGUUCCUUGGAUAUGCAUAAUUACUACUACUUCUUAGUAGCUGAUAUGAUUGAAUCUGCCAUUAAUCUAUCCUCGUAUACAUGUGCGUGCAGGGCUACACCGUUCAACGCGACCAGCUUCAACGCAUACGUGCUACAGGGGAGCGCGCCAGCCCUGCCGGAGACGAAGCGGCUGUACAACAAGCUGCGCUCGAUCGGCGUCAAGCCGGUGUUCCUCACCGGCCGGACUGAGGACCAGAGGGCCAUCACCGUCACCAACCUCCGCCGCCAGGGGAUCUCUGGGUGGAUGAACCUCUUGCUGAAGCAACCCGGGUUCAAGGGCUCUGCGGUGACCUACAAGUCCGGCGAGAGGCAGAAGCUGCAGGACGCCGGGUAUGUCAUCGUCGGUAACAUCGGCGACCAGUGGAGCGACAUCCUCGGCGCGCCAGAGGGUGCCCGCACCUUCAAGCUGCCCGACCCCAUGUACUACAUCGGCUAGGCCGCCUCUGGCUCGGCCGGGCAUGCUGCCAUUGAUUUCUCGAAUAAGCUCCAUGCUCUUAGUUAUAUGCAUGUUUCGUCAGAUAAUCAAUCCCCAAUUGUUGCUUGGUUCAUUUCCAUUGUUGAGAGCUUGAGAUCAAUUGCUACUAUGAAUUAGACGUGUAAGUGGAGAUGUUGCAUGCUGCUUAAUCAAUGGAUCUUUGUUAUGUUGUUUUUCUUUUUGCUCUAUUACAAGGAAUCCAUGGGCAUUAUUACUAUUUGAUAUCUUGUUCUUAAGUCUUAACUUGGAACUUAUAUUGCUGGUGGUAGAUUUUUCUGUACUAAAUUCUGCAUAUGGUGUAUUAAAUAUCAGGGACACAUAAUAUUGUCACACAUAUGGAAUCACUACUGCUAAAAUGACCAGUUCCUGAACCCAUCUGCUAUUGGGCCCAUUUUGGCCCGUCGGAGGAAGGGAUCAUCGUCGGUGGACAGGCAAAGAAGUGCUCGCAUAGACUCCUUCAAAAAAUGUGCCCUCAUAGACGACGGGUAUUUUCCACUGAUGUUGCGCAACUGGUGAUUGCAAUGUAGUUUGUGUCUUGCAUGUUGUAUGCAUAUGUAAUGAAUGUAACAUCUAAUAGUUAAUUAUGCAAGACAAAUAAAGCCCACCCUUUUCAGUAAGUUUAGAGCUAGAUUUGAGUUUGUCUUGGUCUCAUUUUUCUAAACAUACAAUCCUGGAGACAACUCGGUGAAGAAAUGAUGGUCCAAAUAGGUGUCUAACACGAAUCGUCAUCAAAGAAACCCUAUGGGAACCCACACUAUUCUAGUUACUUGGAUGAUUUGUAAUGAAAGAAAUAUAUGUGUCUUCCAAGUUAUUUUGACCAUGCCAAACAACAUCCCUGCUAAGAUAAAAAACGAUGUGGAGACUUGGAUAAAGGCCGGGCGAAGGAUCUGGGAAACAUUAUGCCAGGAGAGUAGUUCCGUUCUAUUAAUUUAUCCUUGGAUGACGUUUCGCGGAGAGAGGGGAGAGGGCGACCUGGGCGAUCUGGGAGCGUCGGGGGCCGCCGUGGGCAUCGUCGGAGAGGGGGAACAUCGGUACUCCUCCUCCGAUCUCGCAUCCCAGGCGCGGCGCCGGAGCCCGAUCUCGGCGGUGGAGGGACCUACUGUCCGUGUCCGAUGGAGAGUUGCGUACUCAGAGGCUGGUUAUUCGGAUCUGCGUGAGGGGCAGAUUGUUUUUCAUUCGGUUUCUCGUUGGAUGACACUACGGGAUGACGACGACGACAUCCUCGCCGGCUGCCAUCUCCAAGAGGAAGAUCUCAUCUGCGAAGGUGCGCAUUUCAUGGUGGAUAUCUUUUCUGUUACUUGUAUUUCUCCUUUCCUGCAGGUGAAUUCACAAGAACGGAUGCAGCCUGAUUUGGUGGACAUAUCUGACGAUGAUAAGAUCGCCUCACCAAGACUUCUCCCUCGAGUUGGGGGGAGGUUUUGGGUACUGGCUAAAGAUGAAGACGACGAGAACCACGACAUUGCCGUAGCACAGGAGGUCUCUGCUCCUUUCUGCGACCAGGUUUUCCAUCCGGCCACGAGGGAUUUUAUUCAUGCAUUGCCUGAUUCGAAGGUCGUUAAGGUAGUUCAACGCAAGGAGCGAUUGGCGAUUAAACCUUGGAGCGGUCCUCUGCCUAAGGUUCAUCUCGAACCAUUGCGGAUCUCGGACAUCAUACCUUGAGAGGCUUGGACUACUGUUUUGCCUAAGAGGAAGAACAAGGGUAAGAGCCGUAAAUUGCAGACGUCAGUCCCUGACAAGGUGCUGUCGUCCCGUGAUUCUCGCGAAUUACGUUUGAACGAGCCGAUGGCUGUUGUCGGGCCGUUGGGACCGGCGCUCGAGUUGGGCUUAAAAGAAACUGGGUAUAUGGCCCAGAUAGACUCCAAUCUAGCAAAACCUGCAAGUCCUACACCUACGGCUGCCCAGAUUUGCCUUGACGAGAAUCAUCAGGACUUGGUUUCUACGUCAAGUUUGCAUAUACCGAGUUCGGCUCUGCCUAGGGUUCCACGACGGCGUUUGCCUGGCUUCCCUUCGCUCGGGCCGGGUCGUGCAGUACGGGUUCCAGCGCUGCGGUGCAUGGCGGGGCGGGGAAACAAGCAGGCGCUGCCUCCCCCUCGACCACCGGCGGUUUCCCAGGCUGUGGGGCGGACUAGGCAGCAGCCCGUGAUGCCGCCAGGGCGCCAGACGGGCCAGGCUUCGGCUGCACCGGUUCCCGCUGCUGGUCAGGGUUUGCCCAACGCGGCUCGGGCGGAUACUAACAGGAUGCAGCCGAGAGGUCGAUGGGGGGAUGAUGGUGUUAAUGCAUAUGGUGAUGGACAGCACCGUGGAUCCUCUUCGUCUGGAGGAGGACGUGGCUAUGCCUGGCAGAGCAAUGGCAGCGCUGCUAAUGGGUUCGCCGGUCCUCCGGGACAGUUUGUGCCCCGGGUCUCGGGUCCUACUCACCCUAGGGAGGUGGAUAUAAGCAACAUUGGGGAGGGAGAGGUGGUGGCAGGAGAUUGAAGCCGCCCACGCCUCCAGUAGAGGUAGAUGCUGCCAAGACAACGGCGGGAGUACCUUCCAAUGCUCCUAAGGGGAAUACACUGCUGCCACCUGUUUCCGAGGAGGAUCCUUCCUUGGCUGACAAGGGAGUAUCGCUUGCGAAGGCAGAGGGGGGGGGAUAGGCCCUCCAAGUGGGCACGCAAAAAAGAAAAGAUGACAUGCUACCGUUGCAGUGAGACGGGUCAUUUUGUUUCCGAAUGCAGCGCGGAUCUGUGUGACUUUUGCUUAAAGCCUAAGCAUGGCUCAGCUAAGUGCCCCCUUACUGUUGGUCCUAUACAUGUCGUCACUUUAUAUGGGGUUUGCUGCCAAGAGUUGAUGUUCUUUGAAUCUCCCUCUGCUUCAACGUCGUUGCAUGUGCCAGACGCGGCCUAUACGGGGACGGUUACGGUGGCUCGUGGUAAUAUGUCAGCUGAGCAGGUGGUGCAACAGUUGAGGGAUCUUGUUUCAUCAAUGUUUCGGUGGGAACUGGUCCUUAUAGCAGAUAAUGUGUUCAAGGUUGUGUUCCCUACCAAGGAGGACCUAGCUAGACUGCUCAAGUUUGGUAUGUGUCGGGUUCCUAGUACUAGUUGUGUGCUAGAGUUCGAUGCUUGGAAGAAUGAGGAGCCAUAAGGUGUGCCACUUCCUCAGAUUUGGGUUCGUUUUUCAGGGGCCCCGUCAAAGGCUCUAAAUGACUUUCUGGUGACUUGGAGUUUGGGAUCUUUGAUAGGUAAGACUGAGAGGGUGGAUAUGCAAUAUACUCGGGCUAAAGGUGUUGCCAGGAUGAGGGUUAGUGUAAUUGAUAUUGCGCUAGUACCGGAUGAAGUUAUAUGGACUUAUGAUGGAAUGCGGUACACCUUGCAACUCGAGAUCGAGAGUCCGGAUAUGUUCGAGGAGGAUGGGACAGACAAAGAUACCGAUAUGGCUGACGGAGAUGAUGCUUCGGGUUCUAGGGAAUCUGAUAAGAAGGAUCAACAGCCAGUUAUUACAAAGAUGGUGGAUCAACCUACCUCAGGUUCUGCUACAGGGGCUGCUCAACCAGUGUCUCUUCCCUCGACGCAGCUUAGGUUCGGUUCCUUUGAACCAGCCUCGGCGCCAGAGAUUCGAGGGAGGGCUUCAGAGAAGUAUGAGCGGGAUCUGGUUCAUCUUAAGCCGCAAGGAAAGCAAGCAAAGUCAGGGUCAUUCAGUAUUAAAAAUCCUAAGGAAGCUUUGACCGUAGUUUCUCUUGGGGAAUAUUUUGUUGUCGCUAGGAAUGCUGAUACGGGCCGGUCUCAGCAACGUGAUGCAGUGCAGCCAGCAAGGCAUAUGUUGUCCGGGUUGGGUACUGUGCCGAGGGGUGCGCCGCCUGGGUCGCCUAGGCAGGGUUCGCUGCUGCUGUAGAGUCCAUCGCCAGCCACCCAGGGGGUUGCUGUUUCUCGGCCAGCCACCCCUGGGGCUGCUACCUUUUUGCCAGCCACACCGAGGGCAAUUACAGCGACUCCUCCUCCUGGCCUACUUCCGUCGUUGGAUGCUGCUGCGAGAUCCACCCCUGCUGCUGGUUUCAUGUCAGCCGAGAGAUCAACCCCUGUUGCUGCGGUUCCUAUCGCUACUAUGGCUGCAACCGGGGCAUCAUCUUUGCGGGUGUCAGGGCUGGAGGGUACUGGUCAGGGGCACCAUGGCGAGGUCGUUGCACCGCCGUCUGUUGAGCAGGUCAUAGCAUACGGAGGUAUUCAAAGUCCGCUGACUUCGGACAGGAGGUCCAGUCGGCGAAUUCAGAAUCAACCUGAUGCGGAUUAUUUACAGAUGGGACGUGCUAUGCGUGCGGCUAAAAUGAGAGAUGUCGAAACUGAGACAGGUAUGUCUUUCAGCAUUAACGAUUCUAUUCUUCAUUUUUCUCCUCAAGAUAUUCUAGAUAAGGCAGGUUCUAUUGGGGUUACAUUGGGGAACAAUGGCCGAGAAAUUUCGAAAUCUAUUAAUGAUCUAUUAGACUUAGAGGUCGAUAGAGCGUUAGACUUAGUACGAAAUUUAGCGGCAGUUAAACCAAUGCAAGAGUCUGAAGUUAACGAUCUAGGGGGACUGAAUUCUCUUUGUGAUAGUCUGGCCCCGUCAGUGGAUAUAGAGGAUGGUGCGGGCGAGGUUUUAGUUGGUCAAGGGAUGUGUGCCCAAUCUCAUAAGGCUGAGCCUCAAUUCUCUGGUUAUAUGGACCAGGAGUUGCUGGAAAAGCCGAAGCGUCCAUGGAGACGGAAAGUGUAUCCGGUCUCUGCGAUACGUAGAAGUGCUAGAUUUAAGAUUGCCAAAAAAAAUUAUGAUGAUUAAUGAGAGGAAUUUUUUGGAAUAGCAGAGGUCUUUGAGACUUGGCUAAAAGAAGAUUUCUAGCAGAGGCUACUUUAGAGCAUCACCUUGAUUUUAUCGCAGUGAUGGAGACAGGGAGGGAUAACUUUACGUCUCAUUUUUUAAGUUCUCUAUCAGCUGGGGUGGAUUUUGACUGGCACUGUCUCCCUCCAAGAGGAAGGUCCGGUGGGAUCUUACUUGGGGUCCGUUGUGACACUUUUCAAGUGCGGGAGGUGGUGUUUGGGGAGUUUGCAGUCAAAUUCAAGAUUAGAUCUAAGGAUGACGGGUUCCAAUGGGCUCUCGUUGCCGUCUAUGGCGUAGCACAGCCAGAUCUAAAGCCUGAUUUCCUAGCAGAUCUGGUCAGGAUUUGUGAUGACAAACUACCAUUGCUGGUAGGUGGAGAUUUUAAUAUUAUUAGGCGGGCUGAUGAAAAAAGUAGUGUUAAUUUUGAUGGAAGAUGGCCUUUCAUGUUUAACACAAUUAUUGAGAGCUUAGAUAUGAGGGAGACCGCUCUAUCAGGUAGGAAAUAUACCUGGGUGAAUGCUCUACAGAAUCAGACAUUUGAAAAGUUGGAUCGUGUCUUAACUAGUGUAGAGUGGGAGCAGAAGUUCCCUCUAGUAACUGUUAGAGAACUUCAACGCGCAAUCUCGGAUCAUACUCCUCUGUUGCUGGAUUCCGGUGAGGCUAGCCAUAUAGGAAACAAACAUGGAUUCUCUUUUGAAUCAAGUUGGUUCACAAGGGAGGGGUUCAUGGAUAUGGUCGAGAGGGAAUGGAAUACAGAGGUCAGGGGCGAAACCUCUAUAGAAAGAUGGCAGUAUAAGAUUAGACAUCUUAGACAGUAUUUGAGGGGCUGGUCUAAGAAUGUGUGUGGAAUAUAUAAAGAAGAGCAAGAUAAGCUCCUCAAACUUAUAGACAAUCUAGAUCGGAAGGCUGAGAGUUGUCUUCUGGAUGCUAACGAAAGGGAUCUCAAAUUCGAGGCCGGACAGCGCUUGCGUAUUCUCCUAAGAGAGGAGGAAAUGAAAUGGGCGCUUGAGCCAAAGUGAAGGCCAUAGUUCUUGGAGACAAUAACACUAAAUUUUUCCACUUGAUUGCAAAUGGCAAGCAUAGGAAAAAGAAAAUAGUGCAGCUUGAGCAAGAUGAGGGUACAAUACUAGGUCAUGAGAAUCUAAAAUUGUACAUCUCUAACUACUACAAACAUUUAUUUGGUGCUCCUGAGCAUAGCUUUGUGACUAUGGAUGAGCAAAAAGUGGCGGAUAUUCCUCAAGUUGGAGAGGCUGACAAUGAGAUUUUAUCCGCUCCUUUCUCAGAGAAAGAGGUGUUUGACGCGAUAGGGAAUAUGAAGAAUGGAAAAGCUCCCGGUCCAGAUGGGUUUCCGGCGGAGUUUUACAAGCACUGUUGGCAUAUUAUUAAGAAUGAUCUUAUGUCAAUGUUUGCUGAUCUUUUUAGUGGUCACCUUCAACUCUUCCAUUUGAAUUUUGGUACUAUUACACUCUUACCAAAGAAGGAAGGGGCCACGCGGAUUGAACAGUUUCGUCCGAUCUGUUUGUUGAAUGUUAGCUUCAAGAUUUUCACAAAGGUGGGAACAGAUAGGUUGACUAAGAUGGCCCAUUCGGUGGUACAAUCUACGCAAACAGCUUUUAUGCCAGGACGGAAUAUCCUUGAAGGAGUCGUUGUCUUGCAUGAAACUCUUCAUGAAAUGCACUCGAAGAAACUAGAUGGGGUUAUCUUUAAAGUGGAUUUCGAAAAAGCUUACGAUAAAGUCAAAUGGUCGUUUCUCCAGCAAACCCUACGUAUGAAGGGUUUCGAUGAGCUGUGGCGUAGGCACGUCGAUUGUUUUAUAAAGAAGGGAAGUGUGGGUGUCAAAGUGAAUGAUGAUGUGGGUCAUUUUUUCCAGACACUAAAGGGUCUCCGCCAAGGAGAUCCAAUGUCUCCCAUUUUAUUUAACAUUGUUGCUGAUAUGUUGGCACUGCUGAUUAAGCGGGCCAAUGAGAAGGACCUUGUAAGGGGCUUGAUCCCUCAUCUUGUUGAGGGGGGGAGUCUCCAUUUUACAAUAUGUGGAUGACACGAUUCUUUUUUUGGAGCAUGAUCUCAGUAAAGCCAGGAACCUCAAACUUAUCCUAUGCUUAUUUGAACAGCUAUUAGGGCUGAAGAUAAAUUUUCAUAAAAGUGAAUUGUUUUGCUUUGGAAAGGCCAAGGAUGAGCAGCUCACGUAUAAUCAAUUGUUUGGUUGUGCUAGCGGGAGUUUACCUUUUACUUAUUUAGGGAUCCCAAUUCAUCACAGAAAAUUAUCAAAUAAGGAUUGGAAAUGUAUCGAGGACCGUUUCGAAAAAAGUUGAGCUGUUGGAAGGGCGAGCUCUUAUCGUAUGGAGGAAGGUUGAUACUGGUUAAUUCAGUAUUAACAAGUAUGCCUAUGUUUCUCCUAUCCUUCUUUGAAGUACCUGUUGGGGUACGGAAAAGGUUGGAUUUCAAUCGAUCACGGUUUUUCUGGCAAAGUGAUGAGAUCAAGACUAAAUACAGACUCUCGAGAUGGGACAUCAUGUGUAGACCUAAGGAUCAAGGAGGUUUAGGGAUUGAAAAUUUAGAGAUUAAAAAUAAAUGUCUACUCAAUAAAUGGCUGUCUAGAUUAUCUAUGGAGACAAAGGGGUUGUGGGUACAAAUUCUGACGAAUAAAUACCUACAAAACAAGACUUUGGCGCAGGUUACAUUGAGACCAACUGAUUCACCGUUCUGGAAGGGGGUCAUGCGGUCUAAGAAUGCUUUUUUUCUCAGGUCUAAGUUUGUUAUUGGCAAUGGCCAAUCUACUAGAUUUUGGGAGGAUACUUGGUUGGGGGAGACGCCUUUAGCCAUGCAGUAUCCGCAACUCUACCAUAUUACACAAAGGCGUCAGGCGACUGUUGCGUCAAUUUUGCGCCAGGUUCCUCUAAAUAUUCAGUUAUGUAGAGCCUUAAUAGGUAACACAUGGUCAAGCUGGCUGCAUCUAGUGAGAAGGUUGUUGGAUAUUACCCUUACUGAGAACCCUGAUAGUGUUCGUUGGAAGUUGACCACUGAUGGAGUUUUCUCGGUAAAAUCUAUGUAUUUAGAUCUCAUAGAUUCUGUGUCCAUCCCGAAGUCCUUACAUAUUUGGAAGGUCAAAGUUCCACUUAGAAUUAAGAUCUUCAUGUGGUUUGUUCGCAAGGGGGUUAUUCUAACUAAGGAUAAUUUGGUCAAACGUAAAUGAAAAGGUAAUACUAGAUGCAGUUUUUGUGAGAACGAUGAAACAAUUAAACACCUCUUUCUGGACUGUCCUAUGGCUAAACUUCUAUGGCGAACACUUCUUAUUACUUUCAACAUUAAGCCACCCAAUAGUUUAAACACGUCAUUUGGGACGUGGUUAAGAGGGGUCGAUGAUAUAACUGCUAGCCUGAUCCGAGUAGGAUCAUGUGCACUUCUGUGGGCUACAUGAAACUGUAGAAAUGACUUGGUAUUUAACAAACAUCAACAUAUUCACUUUUUGCAGGUCAUUUUCAGGGUUAUUGCCUUGAUCCGCACAUGAUCAUUACUCACUCCUGUGGAAGCCAGGGAGCCUAUGGUUACUGGGUGUGUCCGAUGGAAGAUGGUAGCUCAGGUUAUCUUCAACCGUUUUGGAUGACGGCAUAUUAAUAGGAUAGGUGUUUAGUCAUCUAGGCUUAUUUCAAUGCCUCCCGGUUGUGGCGACGACGCCGUGUAUCUUUUUGUUAUUUUCUUCAUUUACUUAUCUGAAGACUCUUUGUACUUUUCGAGGAUUUGGUUUUGAAAUAAUAUAUGGCCGUAUGCAUCCUUCGAUGCCGAGGCCGGGGCUUUGCCUCCUUUUCAAAACAAAAAAAUUUAAUUUAUCCUUUCAUUGUUAACCCCUUUUUUGGACUGCAGUUAUUCUAACUCUCUUUUAAGUAAUGUAAUAAGGCAUAUCUUUUUCCUCCAUUUCGAGACAAAGUUCGGACCUAGCACAACUGUAACAUCCGCUCUACAUCGACUCACUCUAGAGAGACUAGUCUUGGCACCUUUUGCAGAACAUGAUUAGUGUCCUGACAUGGAGUAUUUUAGCAUAUAAUGGUCAACUCUCAAGCACAUAUCACUUCAAAUUGCAUUGCUGAAAAAGAACAUACACUUGCACGUUUUUCGAACUUUCACGCAACAAUAAAGUAACUCAAUGAAAUAUUAUGAUACACUCAAAAACAAUAAUAAGCACUCAACAAAAUAUCAACAGUUUUAUUUUGAUGGACGUAGUAGGACUGUAUCUGUUGUCCACUUGGCUACUUUAUCAACAUAUUUAUUUCAACCACCCUGAUCAACAGACAAUAUCUAAGUAUGUUAUGCUAAUUGAGUUAAAAUGGAUAAUCCUUAUUUUAUAAGAUGCAAGGAGUCGAAACAUAUUGUGAUUAGUUGCAUGCUACUAGCCUACUACAACACUAUUGAUCUUAGUUAAGAAGAUUAUCUUGUGAUUAGACGAAGUCUAGAUCAUCUAGCCAAGUAUGAAAAUAUUUAAAGGAGCGUGUGGAUACCUUUUCUUCUUUAAUAAAGGAAAAAAAAUUGUGUAUAUAUGCGAGUCUGAAAACAAAGAAAAGAAAGAUGGACAGCUUAUCACAGCUUCACAUAUGUCAUCUACUCCCUGCGUUCCUAAAUAUAAGUCUUUUAAAAGAUUUUACUAAAAGACUAUAUAUGAAGCAAAAUGAAUGAAUCUACAUUUUAAAUAUAUCUAUAUACAUUCUUUAGAAAGACUUAUAUUUAGGAACGGAGGGAGUAAUAGCUAAUUGAGGGGUUCAAAUAACUUUGUUUCGCAAUAAUGAUUGAAAAUCAACCUUUUGUUGAAAUCCGAAACUCUACGUACGGUAGACCUAUUUUUAUCAAGGGAAUCAACAAAGAUGAUCUGCUACAUAAAAAUGCGCGUAUGGUCACUCACGAGCCACAAGGACGAUGCUUGAGUAGUGAUGAGUGAGGUGCACGAUGAGAUUAAAUAUUCCAACUAGUGUAACCGAAAAGUAUAGUAAGUUAGACAUCGUUCUUGGUCCACGAAAAUAGUGGCGUGAUCGAUGACAUCUUGAUGCCGGCCGGAGACUAGGAUCUGGCUGUUUGAUAGGGUACCAAUUAAUUUAUACCCUCCACUUGGCCAACUUACUUCAUCACCAGUCGAUAACUGUAUACGCAUUGUUCCAUAUUCAUGCAUGCACGUGCUUACAGCCCAAGAGCAUUGGGUUUAGCUGGUGCUGUCUGAUCCGCUUGAACUCGUAGAAAAAGGGCCUUUGGCCUGGACCCUUUAGUCCCAGCCUGUCUUUCGGUCGGAACUAAAAGCCGGCCACGUCAUCCCAAAUUAUCAGUUUAACCCGCUUGGCCACCAUUUAUAUCAUUAAAAAACCUCAAAUUUGUAGCGGGGUGAGUUUACAUGUUACCUUGGAUCGCCAUUGUUUUUUUGGCCCUGCGUGUAACGACGAUGGCCGGAGUAGGCUCGUGCAGAUUAGUCCUCCUCUUGGUAAUUAAGGAGUAUAUAUCCACUAGCUAGUGUCUGACAUUCAGAACCUCCACUCGAUGGCCAGAGUAUUUGAUAUUUAUACUCUCCUCUUGGUAAUUAAGGAGUGCAUAUCCACUAGCUAGUGAUCUAAACGUUUCUAUAUUAAUUUAUGGAGGAAAUAUUUAAUAAGGUUAUUACCCAACAUUACAGGCGCCAUCCGAUAAACCAUAUCACUUUUUUUUGCGAGGACCUAAACCAUAUUCAAAAUGCAGAAUUACUGGCACGUGGUGUAGUUUACGGAUCGAGCCUCCUCCUUCGUGGGCACCAUAGUAGUCAUGCAAGACAUCGUAGUUAUAUAGUGGUCAAGUGUGAGUUAUGAUUGCUUGUAUAUUUUUUAUGCGAUUUAUGAGUCAAUAAAAGUGCUUUUAUUGAGAAAUGUAUCUAUAUUGAUUAUUGUUGAACCUGCCAUUAAUGUAACUAUUUACACAUGUGCGGGGCCAUGCCGUCCAACACGAGGAGCUUCAAAGCGUAUGUGUGGGAGGGGAGUGCGUCGAUGCUGCAAUGACGAACUGCUCUUGGUCGGCGUCCAGCCGGUGUUCCUCACCGGCCAGACCGAGGACCAUAGGGACAUCAUCGUCACCAACCUCCACCGCCCGAGUUCAAGGGCUCCACGGUAACCUACAAGUCUCAUGAGAGGCAGAAGUUGCCGACGACCUGGUAUGUCAUCGUGGGCACCAUUGAUGACCAAGGGAACGACAUCCUGGGGGUAUCCGGUGGGGGGCACACCUUCAAGUUGCCCGACCACAACGGCUAGGCUACAUAGAGAUCGGCCAUGCCUUGAUUGAUUUCUUGAGUAAGCUCUAUGCUUUCAAUUGUAUGCAUGUUUAGUAAACAAUCCCUCCCUAGUUGUUGCUUUGUUCAUUUUCAUUGUCGAGAACUUGAGAUCAAUAGUUAGUAUUUAUAAGACGUGUUACGCUAAAAGUUGCAUGCAACAUAAUCAAUGGUUUGUUGGUUUUAUUGUUUCUCUCUAUUACGAGAUCCAUGGGCUAUAUUGUUGUUUGAUGUAUUGUAAUUCUUAACUUGGAUCUGUAAUAUUGAUCAUGGUGUACUUUUUAACUAAAGAUUGUUGAUGGUGGAAUUAGUAUGAAAGGUACAUAGUGCUGUCACACAUAGGGUGUCACUACUCCCAUUUUGGCCCAACAGAAGGAAGGGUCAUCAUUUACGGGUCACCAGACUGCGUUAGUAUAGAGGCAACAAGGUAUUUUAACCAUGCCGAACAUCAUUAUUGUGAAGAUUAAAAAUGAGGCGGCAACUUGGGUCAAUUUUUGGGGUGGAGGAUUUGAGAAACACUAUGCCCCGUGAGAAACUCCGCUAUAUUAUUUAAGUCUUUCGUUUUUAGCCUCUCUUUUUUCGGCAGCGGUUCUUCCAACUCUCCUAGUAAAUAGAAAGGGGGAAAGAAAAUCUUUUGCCUCCAUUUUGAAAAAGAAAAGGUUGAGACUAACAUCCCUUUCCAUCGACCCACUCUAGAGAGUGUCUCCAACCUUGUUUUCUUGGCCCUUUUGCAUGACAUGAGUAGUGUCCUAACAUGGACUCCUUGAUGUGUAACGCUCAGCUCUCCUGACCAAAUCGCUUAGAAUUACAUCACACGCAAAAGUUAUAUACUUUUGCAUGUUUUUCGCACGUCAAUGCAACAUUAAAAAUUUCAAUGAAACAUUAUGAUACAUUUUGAAACAAAAAAGAACUCAGCAAAACAUACUGUGGAAAUAGAAAAUUUUUGCCAACAACUAAAAAAACGCAGUCAUCAAUUUAGCCGCAACAAAAAUAAGAUGUUAGAAGUCAGAACAUCUUGUGCAUGAUUAUAUGCUAUAGGACUAUUCAUUAGAGAAACUAGUUGGGUAAAACUUUCUCCUUUUUCCGAAUCUCCUUUUUAAUGUGGGGAAAAAGCUAAUGCAUUGUGGUUUAAAGUAAAUAUUACAUCGGCCUGGGAAAUUUAAAAUGAAUCUAGACUGGACGGCUACAAAGAGAACCAUAAAAGUAUUCAAGCACGUCAGAAGAAAAGGAAAGAUAAAAUUCAAAAAAGAAAAGAGAAAAGGAAAGAUGAACAACCUAUCACUUGCCUCAUAUCUUUACCUAAUAAUAAAGAGGCUAUUGCUUCCGUCGAAAAACCCACCGCUGCCGUUUUUUAAAAAGCCCCCUGUCUUUUAGGUAAUUAAACCCGCAGUACCUUUUUAUGUGUUACGAACAUGAAAACGUUUCAUUUUUGCAGGGAGCCUCCCAUGGCAUUGGAUAAGAGAAACGCAUCUGGGCUGACGAAAACGCACGAGAGGGCUAUCGCUUCUGCCCUCAUAAUCCCACAUCGAUACUUCACAGAUAAUUUCAUCACUUUAUAUACAUGCGCCUUGGUGAUUUUACAAGAGGCAACGGAAAUCAAGAGAGGAACAAAUUCGAGAAGAAGAAAUUGAGAUGACGCAAACAGAGGUGGAGCUGCGAGACAGAGGGGGCUCGGGGCGAAGGAAAGGGUCGGGCGCCGGCGAUGCAUACGUGGAGGUGGGGGCGUCGGGGUUAGAGGAUUCAGGCAACCGGCGGGGUAAGUCUUGCCGGAGACUGGCCCCAUAGGCCGACCUCGCAGCAGCACACCAUGGGAGGUGGUCGCGAGGUGCAGAGGUGGGAGGCGGUGGAGGAGCGGAGGAGGAGGCGAGUGCGGGCGCCAUUGGAAGGGGGGAGUCGGGGAGAUUGGGGAUCCUGUGGGGCUCUCUCCCCUAGCGGCGCGAGGUGGAGGAGAGGAGGGGGGCUGGGGAUCGGGCUAGGUUAGGGGAUUUAGGAGUGGGUAAGGCUAUGCCUUGGCACGCCUAAUGGGUUGUGCACUACUACUCAUCUCUCUUUCCUUUAAUUUCUUUAUCUAAAUUCUUUAAUUAAAAAUAUGUGGUAUUAUUUUUUUUCCGUUGCAACGCACGGGUCCUUUUGCUAGUAUCAUCUAACAAAUCGAGGGGUUCGCAUAGAUCUGCUUCGCCACAUAAUAAUAUAAUCAUGACAAAAGGCUACCUUCUGGUGAAAGCAGAAGCUCUGCAAUAAAGCUGCAAUCGUAGACCUAUUUUAUGAAGGGAACCAACAAAUCGAGCUGCACAAUCCAAUUAAAUACUAAUUCCUCCGUUCCUAAAUAUAAGAUUUUUUAAAGAUUAUAUUAUGAACUACAUAAAAAGAAAAAUGAAUGAAUCUAUAUUUUAAAAUAUGUUUAUAUACAUUUGUAUGUAGUUCAUAGUUAAAUCUAUAAAAGGUCUUAUAUUUAAAAACAGAGGGAGUAUAAGUACUGAGUAAGUUUGACAUUUGUUCUUGGUCCAACAAAACAGUCGUGUGACCCAUGACGAAGCGGCGAUGCCGGAGUUGGAUCUCACUGUCUGAUAUUUAUCGAUUUGUGCCCUCCACUUGGCCAGCUUAAUUGAUCACCAGUCUCUUUCAUUGACAAUUAGUGCUGCUCAUACACGUGCGUUGCAUACAGAUGAUAUAUUGGGUUUAGGUACGGCUGUCUGAUCCACUUGGCCACCUUCUCACUAGAAAGCUCAAGUUUGCAGCGACGAGUUUGCAUGUUACUACAUUGGAUCGCCGUUGUUUAGCCCUGCGUGUGUGAUGAGGGGCGGAGACCCGGAGCAGACCCGUGCAGAUUCGUAUUCCCUUGGUUAUGUUUUAUUCUGUAUAUUAGGUUUGUAUAAUGUAAAACCUAAAUUUGCUUCGCCACAUAAUAUAAAAUAAUAUAAUCAUGACAAAGGCUACCUUCUGGUGAAAGCAGAAGCUCUGCAAUCAAGCUGCAAUCGUAGACCUAUUUUAUGGAGGGAACCAACAAAUCGAGCUGCACAAUCAAAUUAAAUACUACUCCCUCCCUUUUUAAAUAUAAAAACUUUUAAAAAUUAUACUAUGAACUAUAUAAGAAACGGAAUGAGUGAAUCAAUACUCUAAAAUACUCCCUCCGUUCUAAAAUAGGUGUCUUAACCUUAAUACAAUUUUGUACUAGAUCUAGUACAAAGUUGAGACAAUUAUUUUAAGACAGAGAGAGUAUGUCUAUAUAUAUUUAUAUGUAGUUUAUGUUGGCUUUGGAUCCGUAGAUUAAUUCACCCAGUAGCUACCACAUACGUGCAAGCUAGCCUCUAAGCUAGCAAGCAGGCACACAAGUGGAUGGAUAUCCAAUUCGUAGAAAUAGAACGACGUACGACGAGCUAGCUAACUGAUUCGAUCGUCUUGACUGCUCGGAAUGUAACUCGUUGAAAAACUGAUCGAUGGAUUGCUAACAGGCUCGUAUCGAGCCUGGUACUUUUUUAUUGCGUUUUGAUCUCUGGUGUUACAAGCAACAUCUCUAGGAUGCCUUUUAUACACAUCCACAAGGAACUAUGAAAAUAGACUAGGACUAGGUAUCCUAAUACUACUAGAACUCGGUUUGAUUUUCUUUCCUAAUCCUAUGUGUACAAGGCAACGUGAUUAACUCACAUUCACCCCCUAAUCACGAUGUCCUUACUUCCGACCUGGGUCCCAAACACGAUUGCUGCUUCUCAUAAAUGUUAUCAUCGACAUGGCCUUUGUCGUCCCUUGCAACAUUUUAUGGACCGUCUUUACUGUCGUCGGCUCGUCCGUAGCUCGAUGACAACACUCCUUUUUGGUCGUGUCUUCAAUCUUCAUCUCUUCUUCGGUGCUUUGUAGACUGUCCUUCGGAUCAUCGAGGGUACAUCUUUUGAACCUGAGCGUGACCAUACUUUGGUCUAACUUUGAAUUUCAAGCUCUUGGCGCUUGCAUCAGCCCGUAACUUUGAACCACAAGGAAGAAGUACUUCUUUCCUCCGUGAGUUGCUGGGGUGAUAGGGCCACAUAGAUCACCAUGGAGCAGCUAGAGUGCAUCACUUGCACGAUAGGUAGACUGAGCAGGGAACGGCCUGCGGUGCUGUUUUCCAACCAAGCACCCGUCACAUACUCGAUCAACAUGGUCGAUAACUGGCAUCCCGGAUACCAUCUCCAUCUUUGACAUCUUCUUCAAGGCGUAGAAGUUAACAUGUCCGAAUCAUCAUCACUCUUGGCGAGCCAACACUCCAGUUGAGAUUGAUCAAGGUUGAGGAUAUAGAGCCUGUUCCGUGUGCGAGUAACACGAGCUAGCACGUUUCGGAGGUUGUCGAAGAUCGUCAUUACUCCGUUAUCGAUACCCACCUUGCAUCCAUUCUCGUCAAGCUUCCCAAUAAAGAUGAUGUUGUUGUGAAGCCGUGGGAUGUAGUACACUCCGGUAAGUAUGCGAUGUUCGCCUGUGAGACCCUCGAAGAGGACAGAUCCUUGCCCACAAAUCUCCACAUUUGAACCAUCACCGAACUUGACUGAGCCUUCAACAUCGUAUUCCAGCUCGAGGAAUUUCUCCUUGCACCCCGUCAUGUGGUUACUGGCACCCGUGUCGAGAUACCACAACACAUUCUGAUCACCAGCUAACUUCGGUGUCACUUUGUUUUCAUGAAGUAGCACCUUCCGGCUUGGUUUCACAACCACCGUUUCAGCGAGAUCACAAACUUCGGCCAUCAGAAGACCUGGACCUUCGUCUUCCUCCUUUGCCAAAUUUGCCUUGAUCUCUCGCUUGUCAUGCUCCGGACAAUCCUUUGCAAAGUGACCCAUCUCGUUGCAGUUAUAGCACUUGACCUCGGACAUAUCCAAGUUCCGUUGCUUCCGCCCUUUAGAUCGGUCAGCCUUACCACGACCUUGUAGCUUGCCUUUUCCUUUGCCUUCUCCGGUUUGUCCGCCGCGCGUUGUGCUGCUUGAGCCUUCGUUGCCAUCACACCUUCCUUUGCUACUUGGGGACUCCCAAUCUGCACGUGAGUACAUGAGUUGGUCACUACCUCCUCCGUUGCCUUCCCGACAACUACGAGAAUUCUCUUCCCACGUCCGCAGGCGUCCGAUCGCCUCCGUUAUGGUCAUGUCGUCGAUGUCGUAAAGCUGCUCGAGCGUGCCAAUGAUGUACGUGAAUUUUUUAGUCACCGAACUGAAAAAUUUCUCCACAAUCUCGGUCUCCUCGAGCUUUGCACCAAGCGCGCGGAUCUCUCCCACCAAAGUAGUAAGACGCAUGGCAUAGUCGUUCACCGAUUCAGUUUUCUCCAUCUGCAACUUGUGAAAUUGGCGCUUCAGCACUUGUGCCCGAGCCUUGGUGACGCGAUCUUCUCCGAUCCUCAUCUCGUUGAGUGCGUUCCACGCCUCUCUUGCCGUCUCGAACUCCACCAAUGUCAUCAGCACGGAAUCCGGCACAGACUGGGCUAUGGCGGCCAUGGCACCUUCGUCGCGCUCCUCGUCGACGUCGUCGUCCGUGAUGGCCUCCCACACUCGAAGAGAUCGGAGAAUAAUCUUCAUCUUCACCGCCCACACGUCAUAGUUGGCAUCGGUGAGCAUCGGGUACUGGAUGGGGAUGUUGCGAUGCGCCUGGACGUUGGCGCUGCUCGUUCCUCCAUCACUCGUUGCUGACUUGUCGUCCUUCUUCACCUUGUCGUCGUUCUUGUUCGCCUUGGCACCGCCUUUGCCGGAUUUGACCGACUCAGCGUCGCUGUCCGUCAUCGUAGAUCGUAGAUCGUCGAGGCUCUGAUACCAAUUGUUGGCUCUGGAUCUGUAGAUCAAUUCACCCAGCAGCUACCACGUACGUGCAAGCUAGCCUCUAAGCUAGCAAGCAGGCACACAGGUGGAUGGAUAUCCAAUAGAACGACGACGAGCUAGCUGACUGAUUCGAUCGUCUUGACUGCUUGGAACGUAACUCGGUGAAAAACUGAUCGAUGGAUUGCUAACAGGCUCGUAUCGAGCCUGGUACUUUUUGUAUUGCGUUUUGAUCUCUGGUGUUAUAAGCAACAUCCCUAGGGUGUCUUUUAUACACAUCCACAAGGGACUAUGAAAAUAGACUAGGACUAGGUAUCCUAAUACUACUAGGACUCGGUUUGACUAUCUUUCUUAAUCCUAUGUGUACAAGGCAACGUGAUUAACUCACAGUUCAUAGUUGAAUCUUUAAAAGGGCUUAUAUUUAAGAACGAAGGGAGUAUAAGUAGUGAGUAAGUUUGGGACACGCCGUUUUGGCUCCCGGACUCAGAUGAGCCCGAGCGUAAACAGUACGCCAGUUUGGGGUGCAAAAAAUGUUCCAAAAAAUCAAAAAAAAUUGUGAUGCAAGAUGCUCCUAUGUGUGAACUCUCUGUAAAAUUUUGUGAAGUUUGGACAUACGAGGAGCUCACUGCAAAAAAGACGAAAUUCAGAUGUGUGAGAAACUUUUGAAAAUCACACUAUUCAUGCCUGAUUUUGUCUUUUUUGCUGCAAACUCUUCAAAUGUCCAAACUUCAUAAAAUUUUACAGAGUUCACACAUCGAAGCAUCUUGCAUCAUAAAAAAAUAUUUUUUUUAAACUUUUUUGUAUUCCAAACCGUUGUACUGUUCACCGGGCUCAUACGAGCCCGGGCUCACAGAUGGAUUACCGGUAAGUUUGACAUUUGUUCUUGGUCCAACAAAACAAUGGUGUGAUCGAUGACCAAGCGGCGAUGCCGGAGUUGGAUCUCGCUGUGUGAUAUUUAUCGAUUUGUGCCCUCCACUUGGCCAGCUUAAUUGAUCGCCAGUCUCCUUCAUUGACAAUUAGUGCUGCUCAUACACAUGCGUUGCAUACAAAUGAUAUAUUGGGUUUAGGUACGGCUGUCUGAUCCACCUGGCCACCUUCUCACUAGAAAAGCUCAAGUUUGCAGCGACGAGUUUGCAUGUUACUACUCCCUGUGUACCGAAAUAUAAGACCUUUAAGAAAAAUUCCGACCAGAUGAAAAUGUGGACAAUUGACCAGGUUACCCCCCACCUCCGGCAGCUCGCUAAUUUCAAAUCAACCCAGAUCCAGUCGCCCCCCACCUCCGGCCAGCUCGCUAAUAACCCAGAUCUCACUACUCUGCUUGUCCGCUCCCUCCUCUGCCCCAGCUUGUCCGCUCCCUCCUCUGCCCCAGCUUGUGCGGCCCCUCCUCUGCCCCUACCUCCUCUGCCCAGCUCGUCUGCUAGCUACCAGCAGCUUCUCCAGUAGCCAGCGGCAGCAGCUCCUCCGGCAGCUAGCAGUAGAUCCAGCAGCUCCUCCACCAGCCAAUAGGAACUCCAGCAGCUCCUCCACCAGCUAGCACGAGCUCCAGCAGCUCCUCCACCAGACACCAGCACCAGCUCAUCCACCAGCCAGCGGCAGCCCCUCUGUCUGCCGGCAGAAGCAGCUCUUCCGCCUCUGCACUCCCAGCUGCCUCAACGAGGUCCUCUCCCAGUGAUGCACCCAUCGCCCAACAGAUCGCCGGAGGUUUUUCUUUUGAUCCAGGGUGCAGAUCGCCACAGGAGGUCCUAGUGGUGUUGGAUCCUGCUUAUCCCGUCUCCUGCAAACCAAAAAAGCAGGACAAUUAGAGGGUAUUUAUCACAACUUAGCAACAGUUGAACAGAAAACAGUUUAACAACAGCAGCAAAAAUUUUAGCGAGAUCAACAACAUCAGUAGCAGCAUCAAGACAUAGCAACAAUAGCAGCAAUAGGGAGACAUAGAAGUAGCGACAUGGAGUGGCAGCAGGAGUUCAUCAAAAUCAAUAGGGAGUAGCAGCAGCAGGAGUUCAUCACAAUCAAAAUCAACAGGGAGUGGCAACAACAUGGAAUUUGACCUCAACUGUACUCCGCCCGAAGAAGAUGAGAUCAGUCAAAAUGAGAUCAACAUGGAGGACUCACAGGGAGGCAAUGAUCAUGUUGAAGAUGAGAUCAACAUGGAGGACUCACAGAGAGGCAAUGAUCCUGGUGAACAUGAUAUGAACAUGGAGCAAAUAAGGGGAGGCAAUGAUCCCCACGAAGAUGAUAACAGUAAGCACAAUAUACUCAUUUAGCAGUAACAGUGUCUCAUUUACCAAGUUUUUGAAAAUGAACAGCAAGUCUAGUUUCUGAAGAUGAACAGUAACUCCACUUUCUAGAAAUAAACAGUAAUAGUAACUCAUUUGAUCAUUUGAACAUGUGACCAUUUAAAUAUUUUAUCAAUUUAUCAUUUGAUAAUUUGAGUAGGACUAAUAUUUUUUCAUUGUUGUGUUUCUUGUUGCAGUUCUUGAGCAAGGAGUUAGAAAGAGGAAAACUCUGAGUGACCAACAAAAAUAUGCUGCUUAUGUGGCAUUGCACAUAUUAUGUAUGAGUAGAGGUGGAAAGUUCAAGAUAACGGAUAAGAAAAACCUUGCACAUUUUUUUAAUGUAGAAUUGAGGAGUAUACAAAGAGUUUGGCAGAAGGCGAUGAAGCAAAUUUCAGAAGGUUUCGAGGUGGAUGUUUCCAACCAGAAAAAAGGAAAUGUGGAAGAAAACCAAAGGACAUCAACCUAGAGAAAAUCCCUACAAUACCACUCAAUAGUAGGUCUACUAUCAGAUCAUUAGCCUGGCAACUGGGAUGUAGCCCUACCACUCUCCACAGGAAUUCAAAAUGAAGUUGAUAAAGAGGCAUACAAACUGUGUCAAGCCAGCUCUAAAGGAAAAGAAUAAGAAGGAUAGAAUGAAAUUUUGCUUGUCAAUGCUUGAUGAGGCAACAACAAAAACUGCAAGGCCUAAGUUCAAGACUAUGCAUAAUGUUGUACAUAUUGAUGAGAAGUGGUUUACGAUGACCAAGAAGAAUAAAACUUAUUAUCUGCUGGAUGGGGAGGAAGAGCCUACAAGGCCUAUACAUGGCAACUGUAUUGGCAAGGUUAUGUUCUUGACGGGCGUAGCUAGGCCACGGUGGGAUAGUGAAGGAAAUGUGACCUUCUCUGGAAAAACCGAUGAACUCACGAUAAACUGCGUGCGCUCUUUGUCCCAGUUUCAGUUCCCUUGUUCUUGCUUUUCUAUAUCCCGAUGAACUCACGAAUCCAUGAUCCAUGGUCAAUCCCCAAUAUAUAUACUCAAGCAAUAUACUCUCUCAGCAGUAUAUAAUCAAUCAUACAGGAAAGAGUAUCACUCUCUCAGCAGAAUACAUACUCACGAAUCCAUGGUCAAUAGCAGCAUAUACUCCGUGUGGGGAUUAGUCUAGCUCGUAAGCCACGGGUCCAAAUCAAGCAAUAUAUCUACACUAGAAUCUGUAGCAGAGUACACAUCUGACAAAACCGAGAGAUGUGGAGAGGAAGGGGGUAAGAGACGGAAGGGUACCUGGGUGAGGUCGCUGAGGUGGAAGCAGCCGGUGGAGCGGUCGAGGUCGCCGCUAGGGUGUCGCCGGUGCACUGGAGCUCUGCCAACUCGUCCCCAACUCGACGCCCAGCUCGACGCCCAGUCCGGCGCCCAGCUCGAUGCCCAGGUCGACGCCGUCAUUGCUCGGGCUCGGCUUCAGCGCCUCCUUCACCCUGUCCUUGCUCGCCCAGCUCGUCGGCUUCUUGGUCUCGACGAGGCUCCCGCUGAAGUACUCCACCCCCGCCGCCGCAUAGACGAGCAACCCAACUGAGGGCGCCCGCAGCUCCCGCUGAAGUGAUCUGCUAUGUCCAGCACCACUCCGUCAUCCAUAUCCAACAUCGGCGCCCACACCAGCUCUGUCGAUGCAAAACAAACACAUUUUUGACCUUUGAGUGGGAAAGGAAGGAGAGGAAGCACGCAGUGGGAAAGGAAGGAGACAACACACGCGGUGGGCUGUGGGAGGAAGAACGCGGUGGGCUGUAGGAGGAAGAACGGUGGGCUACGGUGGCCGGCGACGACGUAGAGAGGCGACGAGGGAGGGGAAUGAGAGGGUGUGAGAUCUGGGCAGCGAGUGGAUGAGAAUGGGCAGGUGGGGGCAUUUUCGGAAACUCGGAAAGUUUCGUAGUGUCGCGAGAUUUACACUAGAAUCGCUAAAACGUCUUAUAUUUCGGUACAGAGGGAGUACAUUGGAGCAGACCUGUGCAGAUUCGUACUCCCUUCGUUUUUAUUUAUUCUGUAUAUCAGGUUUAUAUAAUGUCAAACCUAAAUCCUUUUAACAAAUUUGUAGAAAAAUAUAUCAACAUAAUCCCUUCAUUUCACAAUUUAGCGCUCGUUCGUGUGCUUUUCGAGAUCUAAGUUUGACCAUACCUUUAAACAAGAAGACCGAUUGCUAUGGGAGCAAAAAUUGAAUCACUGAAUUUGUAUUGAAAUUAAAUACUGAAUUUGUAUCGAAAAUAUAAAUUCAUUGGUAUAAUUUCUGUUGCCACCGCAGUCGGUCUCGUUGGUGAAAUUUAUGGUCAAACUUAGACCUCAAAAAACGCGAGCGCACUACAUUGUGGAACGGAGGGAGUAUACACCAUCAAAUCAAUAUCAUUGGAUUCAUCAUUUCAUAUAUUUUCACAUCAUAUAAAUUUAUUAUUGUAAAUGUUCAUAUCGUUUUCUACAAAUUUCAUCAUACUUUAGAUAGUUUGACUUCAGACAAAACUAAUAUGAGGAGUAAAUAAAAUCAGAGGGGUACCACUCCUAGUAAUUAAUGUGUAUAUCCACUAGCUGCUGAUUGACAUUCAAAUUCUCCACUUGACGAUGGCCAGAGUAUCUGAUAUUCAAACUCUCCACUUGGCCACCUUAUUUCUUCUCCCCAAAUGAGCUAUGAACUGCUCAUUCAUCCAACAUUAAAAUCACUGUGAUGAAACUCUACUCUUUCAGUUUCAUAAUUAGUGCAUAUAGUUUUUCCCCAAAAAACUAAACUUUGACAAAGAUUAUAAAUAAAAAGUCUAUAUCUAGCACAUUGAAUACAUACCAAUAGAUUCGUCAAAAAUAUUUGCAUAUAUUAUAUGAUGGUAUUGUGGAUAUACAUAGAGUUAUCUAUAAACUUGGUCAGAUUUUACAAUGUUUGACUUUUCUAUAAAACCAAUAUGCACUACACUAGGGGAUGGAGGGAGUAUCGUAUGAAAUAUUAUGUGGAAUUAUUCCGUUUCAGACAAUGUUUGGUAUCAAACACAACAGGUACAAUGUUCUAUAGUUUCUCCAAUGUGCAGAAUUAUUAGUUGAAUUGGCAAUUAUUUACAGGAGGGGAGUGCGCUGGUGUGACCGAAAACUAAGUGGAUCGAUGUAUAACAAGCUUCUUUUGGUCGGCAUCAAGACGGUGUUCCUCAUUGUCCGAAUCGAGGACCGGAGUGCAGUAAAUUUUACCAAUCUAUGAUGCGCUCUGGGUGGAUGAAACUGCUCCAAAAGUUGCCCGAGUUCAACGACUCUGUGGUGACCUACGAAUCCGGCGAGCGGCAGAAGUUGCAAGACGUCAGGUAUGAUAUCGUAGGCAACAAUAGUGACCAGUGGAGUGACAUCCUCGACACACCCAAGGGCACCCGCACCUUUAAGCUUCCCUACCCGAUGUACUAAAUCGGCUAGGUUGAAUGCUAGCUAAUCGUCCACGAAUAAGCUCCAUGUUGUUCACUAUCCAUGCUUUGUGAUUACCUUUUUUCCGGGCAUGCUUCCUCAAUACUAAUCCACUAUUACUGCUAGUUUUCUAAUUUCUAUUGAGAAAUCUAUUGCUGCUUGGUUAAAUUCCAUAGUUGGGACCUUGAGUCAGUUACUAGUAUUAAUAAGGUAUGCUACAAAGAAAUUGCAUCUUGCAUAAUCAAUGAAUCGAUGCUCCAUUUUUCCUUGAUUAUAUAAUAUAUGUAGUUUCUAUUUUACACUUUGAUUUAUUUAUUUUUUACUUUUAAUAUUUCCUUUUUUUUCAUUUUCUAGUUUUAUGUUUUAUUUUUUUAUUUGAUCUCCCUUAUGUAUUUAUUUUCUUAUUUUAUUCUUUAGAAUGCUUUCUAUUUGUAAAAAAUAAUGAAUUUUUCCAUACCCUAAUAGUUAAAAACAAUUCCGGGAUAUUAAAAUUACGAUGAACAAGGUCCUAAUAUACGUCGAGAUUUUCCCAAAUACCUGAUGAAUAGUUUUUAUAUGUUUAAGUACAUUUAUAAUUUUGUAAUUACACCAUCAAAUUUAAAUAUAUUUUAAAUAUUUGUUGAAUGCACAAAAAGCAUUUACUAAAUAAUUCGGAACAUUUGCUAUUACAUUGUGAACAUUUCUAGAAUACACAUUGAACAGUUUCCAAACCAUGAUGACUUUUCUAAAUAUGCAUUAUAAAAUUUUCAGUUACACGAACUAAACUGUUUUACCCUGAAUUAUUAUUAUUUUUAAAUUUGUUUUUUCUUAGAAUUAUAAAUAAAAUUAAAUUGAAGUGUUUCAGAGUAUAAAGGACAGAACGGGUAAAAACAAUGACAGAAAAAAUAAAAAUUGCAUUGGGUCGGGUCAUUGUGGAAUACUAUGGGCGAGCCCAAAGGAGUGUUCAUUACUGGUGAAUUAUAGUAGCAACGUGAGGGAAAGUGUGCUUCUCAGCCCGAGCUCAAAUGAGCUCUGGUGAACAGUAAAAUCCAAAAAUAAUUAAAAAAAUAUGAAAUUGUUUGGUGAAAGAAAUUGAAAAUAGUCGUAACUGCCUCCAAAAUUGUAUUAUGAAAUAACAUUUAUUGAAGCCAUGGAGAAAACAAAAUCGAUACUCCAAAAUGCUUUUGAAAUUAGUAUUUUCAGAGUAUCGAUUUUGUUUUUUUGCCACAUGUCACACAAAUGUGAUUUUCUGAUGAAAUCUUGCAAGAUAUUAGAACUUUUGCCAAUGUUUAUCACAAAAAAAAAUAGAUUUUUCUGGAUUUUUUUAAUUUAGUUUUGAUUUUACUGUUCAUCAAAGCUCAUUUGAGCUCGGGCUGAGAAACUCCACAUCCCAACGUGAGCGCCUAUUUGGUGUCGUGCUCAUUUCUGGUAGCCGACAAACUGAGUGGUUUUGUGCGUGACGUAAAAGACACAAAACAAUCAGGGCACUUCGAAGGAAUCAACGUUGUGUCCUUUCACAGGGAAUGCGUGAUGCUAGUUGCUGGCCACUCGUGCCAACAAUUUUUGCUAAUAGAAACACAACAACAAUGUGCAGGAAAUUACUGCAGCGGUGAAUUCCAAAUAUUUUCUAAAGUACACAAAUAUUUCAUCAAAUCUGAACGUUUUUUGAAAAAUCACAGUAUUUUUAAGAUGCCCAAUAUUUUUUUUAACUUUUCAGAAUAUUUUAAAUUUCAAACUUUUUUUUUAAAUUGCCAAACAUGUUUUGAAUUUGUGGACAAAACUUUUGAACAGAGAAACAGUUUUACAACAUCUGAAACCUUUUUUGGAACGCAAUAAGUUUUUCCAAAUUUCCAAGCAUUUACAGAAAAUGGAACAUAUAUUGACCAUUUCCAAACAUUUUUCAAAAACAUGAAUACUUUUUGAUUUAUGAACAUCAUUUCAAAACAGGAACAUUUUUUGAUAAUUCUGAACUAUGUUAGAAAAUGCGAACAAUUUUUGGACGUUUGUUGAGAACCCAAUCAUUUUUAGAAGAAAAACAAUUAUUAAAGUUUCAGACAUUUUUUUACUUGUGAAGUAAUGACCAAAGAAAACCAUAAAAUGUAAAACAACCGAAAAUAAGGAAAAAAGGAAAGAAAAAGUUGAAAAAAAUAAAAAUAUGAAUAAUAAAAAAUAAUAAAUUCUGGAAAGCAGUGAAAAAUAAAUCACAAAACGGAGACCAGUUUAUACGUCCUGCUGCUAUAUGACAAAGUAAAAAAUCUAAAAAGAAAAUCCCACAACAAAAGCUAUUUGACAUACCGAGCGUCAUAUAGAAAAUUCAAACAACAACCACCACAGAACGCUGAUACAGAUGACGGGCAGGUGGAUGUUUCUCAGAAUCAGAUUUUGAAGAAUCAUGAGGCGAAAAGAACUGGUGCCUGCAAUCGGCCGUGGCAUGUACACAGGUGCUAGUAAUGAUAUAAAUCACGGAUAUUGAUUUUGAAGGUCGAGCUCCAUGGAGGUCUUUGAAUGCAAAAUUCAAAAUUCAUGAAAAUAUUUUUUUUUUAUAUUUCGAAAAAUUCCGUAACAAAUACAGAGAUAGAUGAAGGCAUAAUACACAAGUGUGUAAAUUUUUAGGACCAAAUACGUUGAAAUAAGGCUGUACAAAAAAGGCAAAUCUGAGGUUGUUUAACACAUGAUACUAUUCAUCCUCUCGGAACAUGAUUUUAUAUUUUUAUACAGGUUGCAUUUCAACGUAUUUCAUCCUUGUUUAGUUUUAUAAUUGUUUUCAAAAAAUCUGAGGAUGAGGCAUAUGUCUCACAUCCUUGUUUAGUUGUAUAAUUGUUGUAAGAUUUUUUUUUUAAUUUUGAACUUUUCAAAAAAUCGGCCUCGGCCAAAACGCCUUUCUCUAUAAAUCGUGAUUUGUAUACUGGUAAGAAGAAUGAAGCAAUGCAUAUUCAACUAAACAAACUACAUAUUGUCUUGAAUUCACUCAUUUGGAAUCUAGCUAGAAAGGGUGCUUUUUAGGUGCCCAGAUUUUUUAAUUUUUUUGAGGGAAGUGACGAGGUUCUUGGGAAGAAAAGAUUUAACAGAUUCAUUGGUUUUCACAAAGAGAGCAAAUCAAUAUGAGCGCAGAAGCAAUCGAGUUUUGCCAUUAUUAAGCAACAACAUGACAUACAUGAUACAACUAGAGGUACAUAUAGCUAAAUUAGCGGAAGCCCUUUGUAUUGGUACUGCUCGCCGAGCUCCGCGAGCAGAUCGUUUUCCGCCUUGAGUAUGUCGCCCAUGUUGUCCAGCAGGAGGUACUUGUCCAGCGAGAAGCCCGACUCCGGCGAGAUGAGCGCCGCGACGUUUCUCAGGAACUCCUCGUCUAAUGGGGCAAGGGGCUCCCACUUUUGUCCCGACGUCAGCAGCGGCUUCUGAGGUCGCCGCCUCACGACCUUCAUUUUCUUCUUCUUCAUCGUCAUCCUCCUCUUCUCCCCUCUUGCGGGCGUCGGCGACUUCGCCCCCGCCUCCGUGUUCUCACACGAUGAACUCGCCAUGAUUCUUCUCCCGUCCUUCUUCCGCUGAGAAGAUUGGUCUGCUCUGCUGGUUUCGCAGACUUGCGUGCUCGCCGGCACCGGUAUAAAUACAGCAAAAAUAAGAGAUCGAUGAUUCAUUUCUUGGCUAGGGGAGCAGUUCGUUGUAUCCGACUCGUAUUCAGUCCACGGUUCCGGUUCCUACUCCCGCAUGGUCGACGCAUCGGUUGGGAUCCUAAUUGGGACGGCCCAAUGGUAGGUUAUUUUAUAGUAUUUUUAUGUAUAUUGUCUAUAAGGACGUUACUGCAUCAAAAAGAAAAGUAUAAUGGCUCUGCAUCUAGUCUAGUUGCUGAAGCGUGUGCGUCGAACAGCUUCCCCAUCGCUUAGUGACAGUUCAUGAAAUCGUGUGCGAUGACCAUUUCUAUGGAUUUUUUUUGCAUGAUAAUAUGUGUCUCAUUUAUAUCAUAAUGAAAAUAAUACAAGACCAUUGUUGUGGAUUAUAACAACACAUAUACACAGCCAAAUACAAACCCUACGGUCUUGGUCACAAUAUAGUGGUACAGGUGUCCAUUAGGACAUAUGUCCGUGUGUUGCAACGGAAAAAAAAUUAAUUUGUAUUUGCAAGCACAACACGUCAUGCUCCGCUACGAAAGAACGCUAGUUACCACAUGACCAAAACGACCAUCGAUGCAUCACUACAUCCAGAGAGUGUCACCACCUGCAGGGAGGCGCACGUCAAAGCCUUCAACAAACGCGGGGACUAUGUUACUCCCUUUGUCAGACAUUAUUAGGCUGGUGGACCACUUAGCCUCAGCCGGACAUUAAUCAUGAAGUGAGCCUUAGCGCAGAUGGUAAAGAUAUCUUCAACGUGACGAUGUGGCGUUGUGGCUCCCUGGCCCAGAUCUUCCCACCAAUGAAUAGUAAAAUCGACAAAAAAUAGAAAAAAUGAUUUUUUUUUUUGGAGUGCAAGAUGUUCCUUUGGGUGAUGUCAAAAACUGCUUGGAGCUGAUUUUUAUUUUUUUUUGCCAGACGCUCCUCGAAUGUCCAAAUACCUCGAAAUUUUGCAGACAUUUUAGCAUCUUAUGAGCCAAAAAGGAUUCAGAUUUUUUUGAUAUUGUGCUUUUCACCGGAUGCAGAUGAGCCGGGGACCAUUUUGAUUAUUAUUAUGGCUAAUCUAGUUUAAAUGUGUCAUUGUUCAUGUAGCCCACAAUCAUUUUUUCUUUUAUUGUUUGAACACACCACGUCCUUCAUUUCUUUUAAAGGUUUCCUUGCAUGUCUGCUCGUCGUGCAGUUCAUUCCUUUUAAUUGUCAUUCCUUUUAAUUGUCCGCUUUUAGCAUCCAUUUUUAACUGUCUUGCUGAUAUUCCAAGCAAACCGCAAGGUAUAUAAACCGGUAGGGAUCUAUCUAAAGAGGCAAGGUGGGUUUAUUUAACAUAAAAUAUUGAUGUCGAGUUAUUUUUAAAAAAACAGCCUCAACUUUAUUAAUUAGAGAUAAUUGUUACAUCGUCUAUUAAAAAAGAUACAAUAUUUUCCAAAGGCUCCUCAAUCCACUCACUCGUAUCAGAACUCUUUGCUAAUCUAGCAAGCUCAUGUGCUACUUCGUUCGCUUCUAGUAAAAAAAAUUCAGAAGCCAUAGAAAAACAAUCCUCAAAGGUUGCAGCCGCCGCUCCCGCAUAGUACCCUCCCUUGUUCAUUGUUUCAAUUACUUCCGAGAAUAUUGAUGUAGAGUUGGUUAGUGCAGUUGCCUUACCCUGGACAUGGAGUAUUGAGUUUAAUCUUCCAUAAAUACAUAUUUUUGUACACGUUGUUCGUGGCCCAUGGCAGACGGCCCAAUAUUGUAGCGAAGCCCAGCAGUGCAGCAACCUGACAUGGUACGAUAGAUGGUGAGGUGUAUGCGUGCUAGCAACGUAAGAAAACGGCCAGGGAGAGGCAAUGUAUGUACAAUAUUUUUAACCAUGGAUUCAAGCUCGUAAAAUUUUGAGACUUUUCCAUAAAACUGUAUGACAGACUAAGAAUACAUAUUUUCUUAAUUAGUAGGUAUAGAUGCGGCAAGUGGAUUGUUUCCUGGUUUUGGGAAGUUUCCAUAAGCUUUUCAGACGGUUUUUCAUUUUUUCUAUUUUGGGGUUUUCCUGUACCAAUCUUGUCUAUUUUUUAUUUUCUACUUAUUUUCAUUUUGCUUUAUUGCAUAUUCUUUUACUUUUUUUCAUUUUCCUUUUUCUAUUUAAUUUUGGCAAAACACGAAUUGUUUCAAUUUUAUGAUACUUUUUUUAAUUGAGGAACUCCUUUUCGAACUCGUUUUUUCAAGUUCAUCAUUAUUAUUUUUUAAAAUUAUCACCUUUUUAAAAAAUAUAUGAACUAUUUUUAAUGUUUGUGAACGCUGUCUCAAAAUUGAUGAACUUUUUUCCUAAAUGCUGAAGUUUAUUUUAAAACUGAUGAACUUAUUUUAAUAUUUGAUGAUCUAAUUUUAAAACCGGAGAAUGUUUUUGCAAAAUAGACGAACUGUUUUUCUAGCAUAUGUACCUUUUGAAAAUUCAUGAACUUUUUUUCAAUUUUUGGGCUUUUUUUAAAAGUUGAUGAGCUUUAUUCAAAAUCGUGAAAUAUUUUCCAUCUAUGUGCAACCUCUUUUUUCAAAAUCAUGAACAUUUUCGAAUUGAUGAACUAUUAACAGAGAUUAUACGCAUGACCUUUUUUGAAUUCGCAAACUUUUUGUUGAAAUAUCUGCAUUCUAUUUGAUUUUCUGAUUAUUAUUUUCAAGCUAGCGAGCGUGCUCGUGGGCUCACCCAUGCUAGCAAUGGUGCGAGCUGGCACUGGCGCAAAACGCGUCAAUUAGGAAGAGCAACUAAUUAAGGAGUACUCGUCCGAGAGCCUCUCGAAGGGUCCAUUGCCACGUGUCGUACUCUUGGUGUUUCCUUUGGAUUUUUUUCUAUACAUAUUUAUGUCUGGAAUUUUGGCUUUAAGAUGAUUUUGUUUUCCGGGUUUUUUUGGCUUUUCCGUUUACCCCCGAUUUUUCUUACAAUUUAGACCCAAAAAUAAGAUUUUAAAGAAAAAUCACAAAAAAAUGCAUUUUCUCUUUCUUUUUUCCUACCCUGAGAGACAUGGAUUUGCUUCUCUUAGAGGCACAUGUGCCUCCUGAAAAAGCAAAAAAAAUGUUUUUUCCUUCCGCGAGGCAAGGUCGUGCCUCUCAGAAAAGAAAAAAGAUCCAUUUUUCCUUUCACGGAAGUACGGAUUUGCUUCCCUGAAAGGCCUAGUCGUGCAUCUUGAAAAAGGAAAAAUGCAUGUUCUCAUGAAGGAAAACAACGUGGUUUUAGUUUGGUUUUUUUGUUUGAUUUUUUCGUGAAAAAAAGUCCAACGAAACAUAUCAACAUGUGGUCUAGUUUUUAAGAUCUCGACGCAUGGAAUCUAACGGCAAAACCAGUUCUAGAUUUGGACGUAGGUUUUGAGAGAUAAAAUGUUUUGAAUAAACAAAUCUGCGAAAAAGGAAAAACCCUUAGGUUGCUACAAGUGACGCACAUGCAGUUGAAGACUUGUCGCACCCUGGGUUGGGGGAGUGAUCUUUGCCAAGAGUAGUUUUCAAUUAGUGAUUUCGCUAAUUAGAAGCUCGCAUCAUCUCCGAUGCGAGCACUAGUGGAUCAGCCCAUGUGCGCUCAUAUGGGUUUUUUGGAGCGGCUUUUGGAAGCUUCUAUGGAGCUGUUUAGACAAAUUUGAAAACCUUUCAUUCAUUUUUUAUGUGUUCACUAUAUAGAUUUACAUGGACUAAAGUAAAAUGUAGAUUUACAUUAUUUUUUCCCUUAGUUUUCUUUGUGUGUUUUUAUUCAUUUUUUGAAUACACAUGGAAUUUUUGGAAAUACAGUUCGAAUAUUUUUUGUUUACAUGUUAUUUCUUUUAUACACGUUGAUGAUUUUUGUAGACACAUUUAAGUGUUUUCCAAAAUAAACAGUAUUGAUUUGUCAAAUGAACAUUGGAUUUCUUAUGAAUAUAAGGUGAACAUUUAUGAAACACCCAUUGAACAUUUAGAAAAAUUCCAUGAACAUUUUUUUCUUAAAGCAUGCAAAACAGUUCUUAAUGUUAGAACAUAUUUUUUAAUGUCAAAGACAUUUUUGUUGAAUGGUACAAAAUAUUAUUUAAAAUUACAAGACCAUUUUUACAUACUAGAAACAGUUGUGGAAAAUGUUAUGACCAUAUUUUUGAAACGGCUGAAUAUUGUUUAAAUUUCAUAAAUAUAUUUAGAAUGGUAUGUCAAAAGUUUAAAAAUAUGUGAAUAUUGUUUCUACAUUGUAUAAAAAAUUUAAAAACUGUCAUGAACAUAUUUCUGAACACAUGAACUAAAUGUCAGGAACAUUUUUCGAAUGGUACAAACAUUUUUAAAAUUGUGGAGACAAUUUAUUACACUACAUGAACAUUUAUUUGAAACACGCAAUGAACAAGGGGUAAGGGACACGUGUCAUGUGCUUUGCUAGCGCAUCGUGGUUGCUGAGUGUCUCAUUCCUUUGUUGUUGAGUUUUGUUUUAGUGCGGAGUGUUUUUACAGUAUACUCGAGAAAGAUCCUACGUUACGAAGGAUGUGUUUGGUAGGCGUUUCUAGCGGGACUGGCUCGUGGACAUUGGCUCAACAAAGUUUGGUUGAGAUAAAACGAUCAUAAAACUAACAUCUGCAUUUAGUUUGGUUGCCGGCAUACAUUCUAAACUGAAUGGGGUGUCAUGAAAGACAUACUAUUUGGUUGUCUGUUUGUGUAUGCGCAAACACAAGGCCUACUAUUUGGCUGCAUGCAACACUUGUUGUGAGAUAACCUCUUCGAUGCGGUGGUGAGGUUACCAUCACAUAGCGGCGUCAGGAAGAACACACAACAUAACAUAGUAGUAAGCAGUUAUAAAUAUUGUGUCACAUUUAAAUAGAUUAGUUUAAAUGCAAAGCAGUUCAAUAUUAAACUAAAGCAACUAGAGCAUAUGAGCGGUUGUCCUAGACGUUCACAACGAAGGCAUCGUCAUGUCUCCCGCACCAGGCCACCACUUUACUGCCAUCGUCAUUGAAGACGAUGACCUUCACCAUGUCGGGAGUCAUCAACUGUGACCAUGAAGCCUAUCUUGAUUUGUUGGACGGCGACGAAGGUGGCCCAAACCUGGUCGAGGGUGACCCUUUCGUUCAACAGACGGACAAUGACCCUCCUAGAGCACUCGGUGUUCGCCUUCAAAUUGAACUCCUGUGGCAUAGACGGGAAGUGCUUCAUGAAGUCGAGUGGCAUAGGUAUGGCCUCGAGUGGCAUGAUUACCUUGCAGAAGUUAUUUGGCUCACCCAUCUCAUGGUAGUGGUCGUAGUUCUGACGCUUGUCGCUGGGGGGCUCCUCCGCGUAUCGUUGUCCGUGACCGGGCUCUGGACAGGCGCCACCUUUGAGGGCGGCACAACAUCCUUGCACUUGUAUUGCUCCUUUGGUGGCACCACCUCAUUGCCCUUGUUCUCCGUGUCGAUUUGCAGUGUGAAGAGGUUCAAACGAUUGGGUCAGGAUUUGCAAUAUGAACAUUGCAUCAUUGUCAUUAACUUAUUGUCGAGAACCCCAUUAUUUACCUAGGCUGAUGGUUACCACUUACCCACCACCUAGUUGUUUGUCUCUCUUCCUCCAACCCAAUGCCAUGAACUCUAAGAACAAGUCUAACCCCAUCCGCAACCCCUUUCCUUGGGGCAUUGGAUGGAGGGCCUUCUUCCUAGGGUGCUCGCUCGAUGACCGCACCAAGUUUGAGAACACCAUGAAAGUGUGUUCAAACUUCAACAGCUUGGAGGAGCAGUACAAAGAGUAGGACGCUAUGGUGAAGAAGGCGAGUCGGAGGAGUUGAAGACGCUGAUCAGUGACCCAAUGAAGGGUUCUAUGUGAGCCGACAUACUUCAUUGAGCCAUGAAUCAAGCCGUCCCCGGCGACGCUGGACAGAGGGAAAACUGAGCCAAGUACAGACAGCAUCGGUGUUCUUAUGACCACGGGGCCGCAACGUACUUCACCACAAAGAUUAUGGUGGUGCCGGUGGAGGAGCAUCAAGAAGUGCUGGCUAUGGAGGUGGAAGAGGAAGAUGCAGUGGCGACGAUUGUGAGGGCGCUGGAGCUAGGACACCUAAGCAUGCCAAUCAAGUUGGACUCCGGCGAGGAAGAAGAUAUGGUGGUGUAGGUCGAGGAGAAGACCAAGGCCAAGGCUACCCACCGCUCCAAUCGCCUCCAGGGUCCUGUGUACUAUGUAAGAUGAACCCUAAUCCCCAUUCCGAUUGUACUCAAUCCUGAUUGGGAACCUCAUAUCUACCCGUAGUCAUGACGAUGUUAUGACCACUCCUAUGGUGUUUACCCCGAUUCCCCAUUCUCCUAACAUGGAUCGAACCUAAACUCGGAUCAAAUGCAAAGUAGUACAUGAGGAGGGGGGAAAGUGCUUACCGCCAUUGCCGAAGUGCUGCUGUGGAUGCCGGUGAAGAGGCCGGAGUCGAUUUGCUGUUCCUCGAUCUGAUGCACGCCAUCGCCGCCGUCGGUGAGAGUAGGGAGAGUGGAAAGAGAGCGGUGAGAAAAGGUAAGGGUAAUGACUGUCGACGCUUCGGGAAACAACGCGGCUUCUCAAGGGUGGCUCCCCUUGUGCAACCCCUGCCGCCCACGUGCAUCGCAGAGGCCUGGCUCGCGAGAAACUACCAAUUCGAACGUGCCUCGCGAGACAUACCCAGACAUGCUUUAAAGUUCGUGACAUGCAGGCCCAACAAUGUAUGUUGACAACCAAUCAGUUUGUUUUCUUUCCACGGGCCUGGUUGGACCUUAUGCGGGCAACCAAACGCAUCCCCAAGUGUUGUUUAUUUGUCGGAAUUUUCUAAGGUACUGGGCAAACGACAUGUGUACUGAGUGCCCAUGAAAUUACACCAGGCAAACUGUAAAAUACUCAGCGUAAUUUUUUUCCUGUAGUUGUACAAUUGGCUGCGCUGCAGUUCCAAAUUUGAUAAAGUUACAAGGUUGGUGUACCAGAAAUUCAUUAUCUACCAAUCAUCAAUAUGUAUGCACAAAACAGUUGCCUGUCUGGGCCUUUGUAUCAACGUCCAUCCAUGUGUAACACGUUCAGCGGAACCGUCUACCAAACGUCUGACAGACACAGACACGUGCAUAUCCUCCAAACCGGGCAGGCUGGUUGCUUGCGCCCUCGUCGCUUUCUUGUCGAACUGGCUCCAUAUAUAGACUAAUGCACACCACAGUUCAAUUUCCAUUUUCGUUUCAGUCAUCGUACAUAUGACUGCAUUAUUCAGCUAACGUUUAAGCAUAGGGAUUUUUAUUUUCAUGUCCCGUCUUUCUUAGUUAUGAUUAGUUUUGCCCCGUUCAUUUAACAUUGCUCACUUUUUUCCCUUCUUUACUCAUCUACGCCUCGUAAAAGAUCAAACGGUGUGUUGACAUUGGGUUAGACCAGGGGCGGUCCUCAGAUUUUGGGGGCCCGGGGCUGGAUUAAAAGCCGGGGCCCUUAAUAUAGACAUAAUAACAAUAACACUGAAUAUACGUACCGGUGAAAUAUAAACACUUAAAUACGUCUAAUACUAAUAUGCAUAUCAAAUGUUUUAAAAAUAUUACCUCAAACAAUAAUUCUGACAUACCUUGAUGCAAAGGCCAUUAUGAUGGCGUCGAUGUUAAUAGCGUCCAAUAAUUUCUUCUCGAUGACAUAAUGUCACCAGACCAUAUAAACACUCUUGGUUCAUCGGUGACCUCACAUAGUUCUUCAAUCAAUAUUUCCAACUUCAGAGAGCUUCUUCCGACCAAUACGAUAGUCACAGGCAUAGUAAAUAGGAUGCAAUAAGCAAUGGAAAUAUCAGGAUAACAGCCAACUUCUAUUGACAUGCUGCAAAUCUCCAUUGCAGAUAUUACAGUCAUAUGGCAGAAUGAAUCCCACAAUUUUUAAUUUAGAAGUAAGAUCAUACUCCCUCCGUUCCUAAAUAUAAGACCUUUUAAAGAUUGCACUAUAAACUAUAUAGGAUGUACAUAGACAUAUUUUAGAAUAUAGAUUCACUCAUUUUGCUCCGUAUGUAGUCUCCUAGUUGAAUCCCUAAAAGGUCUUAUAUUUUAAAACGGAGGGAGUAUAUCUCAACAUCAUGAUACACAAUGCUGACAAAUAACAUUAAUUGUUGAACAAUAUCGAUGUACCGGCGAUGCAUCUACAGAAGCACAAUAAGAAUAUAUGAUAUACGUACCUCGGAUGGCUGAAUCAGCCAUGACGGAAAAUCAAAGCCGGAUUAUAGGACGCCCCGACGAAUUGAAAUCGACGGCGCGCAGCUGAUGAUCUAAAUUAGGAAAGAAAUUAGGUUUGGGAGAAAAGUAGAAAGGAGGGUCGAGCACGCAGUGGCGAACAGACGAUGCGUCGGCGGCCGCUAGGAAUCGCUGCGUCAAUGCGAGAUGGAAUAGGAAGGGAUCAAUCACUCCUAUUUUUUCGUGAAAAAACGGAAGGAACGGUUGCUGCCUUUGUGCCUCGCUGGACUGCUGGGUGCAUGUUUGCCUGCAUGCUACGUGAGGCCCAGUCAACCAACCCGAUAGGUCAUUUUUUUCUGAUCUGUAAAAACAUUAAAUAUGUUUGGACAAAGCCUAUGUACAUACGUGGGGAGGGCCCCCUAAACUUUGGGGGCCGGGGCGGCCGCCCCCCCCUGCCCCUCCCCUCGGCCGGCCCUGCGGUUAGACUACCAACAAUGAAAGUAACAUAGGUGGUAACAUAGAUAUCAUCUAAACAACAAAUGUGAUGUGGCAACUAAUUAAAGAAAAGUAAGAGAAAUUGAAUAACUUAGCAUGUUACUCAUAUUAGGAGUAACAUAGCGGAUACCAAGGCAAGAUGGGUGUAUAGGCUAAUAAAUAAAAGACUCAAUGUUACUACCCCUAUGUUACUAUCCACUAUGGAGGUAGUAACUUAGAUUAGUAACAUAUGUAUGUUACUCCCCAUUGGUCUUUCAGCGGCGUUCAGAGACUCCUUCAUAUUAUUAGACAUAAUUAUGUCUAGAGACACAACACACGAGGCUAUACGUAAAUCACCCUUAGAAUACCAGCGAGCUCUCGUUUAACCUACGGACCCGAUGGGCCAUGUUAAGACUGGUAUGAAUACCAGCAAGCUCGCUGACAAGGAUCCGACGACUCCAUUACCCCUCGCAUCGCUUAGAGAAAAAACCCGAUACAAGUCACCCCCUUGACUUGAUCUGGAAUUAUCUGCGAGAUGCCAUCUAUGCUCUCAUCUAUCAACAAUUUCAACACAUGUUCUGCCGGAGUUUUGGUGCUUGGAAACCAUGAGCAAACCGCUUGUCACUUCUCCCGUGAGAGAGCGUCACCGGCACAGAACACCUCCAAUGGUUUCGUGAUUGCCGAUGGCGGCUGCAGGAUUGGGGGAGGUAGGCUGCUCGGGCUGCGGGGGAUGCGAAUUGAGAGAGAGAGAGAGAGAGAGAGGGAGGGAGAGGGAGAGGAAGAGAGAGAGAGAGAGAUUUCGUCCCCCUUUUUAGGACAAAUGACCCAACCAUCCACUAGCCGGUCCCACAUGUCAGCAUUUCAUGUCAGUCCCAUGCGUCCACGCGUCAACACCGGACGAAGUAACGGUCAACAGUUUUGACCCGACGGUGAGGCAUUGUUUGGCCUUUUGCGAGACGGAGGCGAGUAGAGGAGGGAGAAAAGUGAGUAAUGUUAGACGGACGAGGCAAACUGAGCACAACUAAGUAACGAUGGACGAGGCAACUUACGUAAAACCAGCUACAAUUAUAAUAGCUUUCGAUGUACACCCGUGUGAUCACCAGCCAUCUAACAACCUUUGCCGACAGUUGUCCUUCAUCCACAAAGACAACAUCAUCCAAAUAAUUCACUUGCAAUCCAGGUUUCUCUAUCAUCUCUUUGGACAUUGUGAUAUUUACUAAUUCCCGAUCCAGAGGUCUCAUACGCCAUGGCGAUGUCAUGACCAGUCUAGGAGAAGAAGCACCUCGUAAACUAGAGCGGAACAGAACCUGGGUUUUCUAGGCAUGGCCUCUCGAUAAGAAGUUGAGAAGAUUAUGGCUGAUACAUGGUGAGAUAGGAUGAGGUGUCUACGCUGCCAUACGACAAAACCCUAGUAACAGGGGAUGCUUUAUCUGUGUUAUUUUUUAAUUAAAUCACAUGAAUAAUUGGCCGUGUGUAUGUAAUUCUAUAUUAAUAUAAUAGGACACAAAGAGGCAGGUCCAUAUCAUCUCGGCCAACAAAUCUAAGAUUUGAUGGUUCAUGUUGAGCACCAAGAGACGAAAACCGCUCGCGUCGCCUCCAGGGGGCGACACGGGCGCCCUAGCCGCCGUCGCCCUCGACCUCCCUCCUCCCCCGCUUCCCCGCCGUUGCCGGAGGAGGCCGGCGAGCGAAGCUCGCCCGGCGGACGACGGACGGCGGGCCUUCCUCCCUUCUUCACGAGGGGGUCCUUUGGCUGAGAUGCGACGGCGCCCCUGGGGGUACAACAUGGAGGCGGAGUUGGCGUGCUCGGGCGGCGUGGGAUCCCGGCGGCGCUGCGGGGGCUGGCGGCGGCGGAUCUGGGGUUCCCCACCCCAGAUCGGUUCUCCUCCGGGUGGUCGGGCUCAGGCGCCGUCCAGCGGCCCUAAGCGGUGGUGGACGCGCGCGUUGACUGUCCUCCUUCACAGAUGUGAUUGGAAACGACAGGAGGUGUUGGCGUGCUGCUAGAUCUGAACAAGGUGAUGGCGUCAUCCCCUUCAUCAGGGAUGACGACCAGGUGGUGGGUUCUUGUGGCGUCGCCGGUGGCGGCGGAUCUUGGGAUCCAGUUCCCGGGGACGUCGUGGGAUGUGGUGGCCCGUGCAGGAGAGAUGGGUUCUUCGAACAGAUCUGGGUCAAAGCUUGCUUUCGGCUAUUGCUAAGGUCGGCGAUGGCGGCGCUGUCUACAUCGUUCCCUUCCUGAAGGCAUCGCCGAGGAGAACUUCAGGGCCACUCUCUGCUACCUCCUGGGGUAACCCUAGAUCAGUAGAUCGGAUGACGGCGACGCUCUGGUGUCAUUUCCCCCUUGGGGGCGUCAUUCAUGGUGGUACACACGGGCUCGAGGGACCAUUGGUCGGCAUUUACGAUGGAGCAGCGUUCCUAGUGACACAUCGACGUUGUGGAGUCUCGGCGGCGAGGCGCGGCAAAGUCUCGGCAAUGAAUGCAUGAUGAUGAGCACGCGUAGGGAGGAGGCGUUGUCUGGCGCCGUGGGGGCAUCGAUGGCAGGCCUUGCAAGGUCGAUGCGUCAGUAAUUUUUCUGAAGAUGGAUUGAUGGAAGGCGGCGACGACGACCUAUGAGGGUGCGUCGGACCGUUUGUGCCCCUGACCCGGUAUGUGGCUCUGUCGGGGCCUCCGGCUUUAGAUGUUAGGCUAGGUGAGAGGUCUGGGUAUGUGGCUCACACUUUCUGCACCCCCUUCAUCAUUGUAUAUGAGUAGCGACAGAUGUUGCCAAGAGGACGGCUUCAGACAUACGCUUAACACUCUAGCUAAUUGACCACCAGUAGCACGGGAGAGGUGUUUUGGCUCCCGGGUAUAUGCACUCGGAUGAACAGUACUGCGAAAAAAGUUCUAAUUUUUUUUGUAGAUGAUUGUAUUAGUGUCGCAAAUAUGCAUGACAAUUUUCGUGCGAUAAGGAGCAACGGUGUUUCAUCAGCAAAAAAGACAAAUUUAGGAUGACAUUUUGGGGUAACUUUUGGUGUUCAAUUUGUUUUUCUUGCACAAACCAAAAUGUUUUAUCUUUUUGUCUCAAAAUUUACAAGUAGUAUUUGGAUGUGACAAAGCAUACAAACAAAUUUUGUCUCAUUUUUUUCCAUUUCAAACUUUUUUUUGGCCCCGAAAGCAUAUGCCGGGAGCCGAAUUGCAUUUCCGCCGGUAGCACUAGUUACAUACACACUAGACUCCGCGCAAUCCCAUGAAAUCUGUUUGGCGAUUAACAUACGGCUAAAUAUCAACAUGCAAAUAUUAUCUUACCAAAUGUACCAAAUGUGUAACUAGUAUCUUAAUUCUACUCCCUUCAUAAACUAAUAUAAAAACAUUUAAAAACAAUGCUUUAGUAAUCUAAACGCUUUUAUUUAAUUUACAAAAGGAGUGCUACCUAAUAUCAACAUGCAUUGCACCAACUCCCUUCAAGGUCUAAUGCGUUUUUAGGGUUGCCCUUGACUAUUGAUAAGAUUAAUAAUAUAUGAGAUCUAUGAUAAAGAGUCUUUUCACAUCCGAAUUUGACAAUAUACCUGUAACAUGCAAGUUAUAUAUAUAUAAUUGCUCUAACCCGUGGCCAAAGGAAAUCUUGCAAAAUGUAUCGGAUGAAGGGAGAACAUGAUAAUACCAGUCUAACAAAUAUAUCCUCUCCAAUCGCAAACAUUUAUCCCCUUGGAUCACAACCAUGCAUACCCCUUUUGAGUACUCCCUCCGUCCCAAAAUUAAUGUCGAGCAUGUAGUUCAUUGGGAAUUUUGCAAAAAAAAACCUCGUAUUUACAAAAUCGUCUCAAACAAGCACCUCCACCCCUAUCUUCUUCGUCCGUCCUCGCCCGUGCAUCGCGAGAGGCCGCGCCGUCGAACUGGAAGGGCUCCGCCGCCGUCGCCGCCAAUUACCUCCUCCAUCACCACAACCCAGAUCUGCGCCACCGGAUCUCUUCCCGCUGCAGUUACCUGUCGGCGUCGUUCUCGAGCUCCUGCCGGCGUCGGAACCUUCCGCCACUUCGUCCUCUGGCUCCCAUGCGUCAUCCUCGAGCUCCCGUGCAUCCUCCCCAAGCUCACGCGCAUCCUCGCUGGAAUCUCUACUGCUCCUUCUCCCUUGCAGCCGGUGUGCCUGCUUAUCCCCUGUCACCGGAGGAGCUCCUCUGCACGUACUUGUUGGAAUUAUGCCCUANNNNNNNNNNNNNNNNNNNNNNNNNNNNNNNNNNNNNNNNNNNNNNNNNNNNNNNNNNNNNNNNNNNNNNNNNNNNNNNNNNNNNNNNNNNNNNNNNNNNNNNNNNNNNNNNNNNNNNNNNNNNNNNNNNNNNNNNNNNNNNNNNNNNNNNNNNNNNNNNNNNNNNNNNNNNNNNNNNNNNNNNNNNNNNNNNNNNNNNNNNNNNNNNNNNNNNNNNNNNNNNNNNNNNNNNNNNNNNNNNNNNNNNNNNNNNNNNNNNNNNNNNNNNNNNNNNNNNNNNNNNNNNNNNNNNNNNNNNNNNNNNNNNNNNNNNNNNNNNNNNNNNNNNNNNNNNNNNNNNNNNNNNNNNNNNNNNNNNNNNNNNNNNNNNNNNNNNNNNNNNNNNNNNNNNNNNNNNNNNNNNNNNNNNNNNNNNNNNNNNNNNNNNNNNNNNNNNNNNNNNNNNNNNNNNNNNNNNNNNNNNNNNNNNNNNNNNNNNNNNNNNNNNNNNNNNNNNNNNNNNNNNNNNNNNNNNNNNNNNNNNNNNNNNNNNNNNNNNNNNNNNNNNNNNNNNNNNNNNNNNNNNNNNNNNNNNNNNNNNNNNNNNNNNNNNNNNNNNNNNNNNNNNNNNNNNNNNNNNNNNNNNNNNNNNNNNNNNNNNNNNNNNNNNNNNNNNNNNNNNNNNNNNNNNNNNNNNNNNNNNNNNNNNNNNNNNNNNNNNNNNNNNNNNNNNNNNNNNNNNNNNNNNNNNNNNNNNNNNNNNNNNNNNNNNNNNNNNNNNNNNNNNNNNNNNNNNNNNNNNNNNNNNNNNNNNNNNNNNNNNNNNNNNNNNNNNNNNNNNNNNNNNNNNNNNNNNNNNNNNNNNNNNNNNNNNNNNNNNNNNNNNNNNNNNNNNNNNNNNNNNNNNNNNNNNNNNNNNNNNNNNNNNNNNNNNNNNNNNNNNNNNNNNNNNNNNNNNNNNNNNNNNNNNNNNNNNNNNNNNNNNNNNNNNNNNNNNNNNNNNNNNNNNNNNNNNNNNNNNNNNNNNNNNNNNNNNNNNNNNNNNNNNNNNNNNNNNNNNNNNNNNNNNNNNNNNNNNNNNNNNNNNNNNNNNNNNNNNNNNNNNNNNNNNNNNNNNNNNNNNNNNNNNNNNNNNNNNNNNNNNNNNNNNNNNNNNNNNNNNNNNNNNNNNNNNNNNNNNNNNNNNNNNNNNNNNNNNNNNNNNNNNNNNNNNNNNNNNNNNNNNNNNNNNNNNNNNNNNNNNNNNNNNNNNNNNNNUGUUGGAAUUAUGCCCUAGAGGCAAUAAUAAAUGUGGUUAUUAUUAUAAUUCCUGUAUCAAGAUAAUAGUUUAUUAUCCAUGCUAUAAUUGUAUUGAAUGAAGACUCAUUUACAUGUGUGGAUACAUAGACAAAACACCGUCCCUAGCAUGCCUCUAGUUGGCUAGCCAGUUGGUCAAUGAUAGUCAGUGUCUUCUGAUUAUGAACAAGGUGUUGUUGCUUGAUAACUGGAUCACGUCAUUGGGAGAAUCACGUGAUGGACUAGACCCAAACUAAUAGACGUAGCAUGUUGAUCGUGUCAUUUUGUUGCUACUAUUUUCUGCGUGUCAAGUAUUUAUUCCUAUGACCAUGAGAUCAUAUAACUCACUGACACCGGAGGAAUGCUUUGUGUGUAUCAAACGUCGCAACGUAACUGGGUGACUAUAAAGAUGCUCUACAGGUAUCUCCGAAGGUGUUAGUUGAGUUAGUAUGGAUCAAGACUGGGAUUUGUCACUCCGUGUGACGGAGAGGUAUCUCGGGGCCCACUCGGUAAUACAACAUCACACACAAGCCUUGCAAGCAAUGUAACUUAGUGUAAGUUGCGGGAUCUUGUAUUACGGAACGAGUAAAGAGACUUGCCGGUAAACGAGAUUGAAAUAGGUAUGCGGAUGCUGACGAUCGAAUCUCGGGCAAGUAACAUACCGAAGGACAAAGGGAAUGACAUACGGGAUUAUACGAAUCCUUGGCACUGAGGUUCAAACGAUAAGAUCUUCGUAGAAUAUGUAGGAUCCAAUAUGGGCAUCCAGGUCCCGCUAUUGGAUAUUGACCGAGGAGUCUCUCACGUCAUGUCUACAUAGUUCUCGAACCCGCAGGGUCUGCACACUUAAGGUUCGACGUUGUUUUAUGCAUAUUUGAGUUAUAUGGUUGGUUACCGAAUGUUGUUCGGAGUCUCGGAUGAGAUCACGGACGUCACGAGGGUUUCCGGAAUGGUCCGGAAACGAAGAUUGAUAUAUAGGAUGACCUCAUUUGAUUACCGGAAGGUUUUCGGAGUUACUGGGAAUGUACCGGGAAUGACGAAUGGGUUCCGGGAGUUCACCGGGGGGGGCAACCCACCCCGGGGAAGCCCAUAGGCGUUGGGGGAGGCACACCAGCCCUUAGUGGGCUGGUGGGACAGCCCACAAGUGCUCUAUGCGCCAAGAGAAGAAAAAUCAAGAGGAAAAGGGAAAAAAAAGGAGGAGGUGGGAAAGGAGGAGGACUCCCUCCCACCAAACCUAGUCCAACUCGGUUUGGGGGGGGGAGAGUCCUCCCCCUUGGCUCGGCCGACCCCCUUGAGGGUCCUUGGACCCCAAGGCAAGGCCCCCUCCCUCCCACCUAUAUAUACGGAGGUUUUAGGGCUGAUUUGAGACGACUUUUCCACGGCAGCCCGACCACAUACCUCCACGGUUUUUCCUCUAGAUCGCGUUUCUGCGGAGCUCGGGCGGAGCCCUACUGAGACAAGGUCAUCAUCAACCUCCGGAGCACCGUCACGCUGCCGGAGAACUCUUCUACCUCUCUGUCUCUCUUGCUGGAUCAAGAAGGCCGAGAUCAUCGUCGAGAUGUACGUGUGCUGAACGCGGAGGUGCCGUCCGUUCGGUACUAGAUCGUGGGACUGAUCGCGGGAUUGUUCGCGGGGCGGAUAGAGGGACGUGAGGACGUUCCAAUACAUCAACCGCGUUCUCUAACGCUUCUGUUGUACGGUCUACAAGGGUACGUAGAUCACUCAUCCCCUCUCGUAGAUGGACAUCACCAUGAUAGGUCUUCGUGCGCGUAGGAAAAUUUUUGUUUCCCAUGCGACGUUCCCCAUCAGUACUGCUGCUGGUCAUCUGCCUGAGUUGUUGCUGCUCCUCUGCUGGAGUUGAUGCUCCUCUGCUCGAUCUACUCUGCCGCUGGUGAAGCUCUGCCCGUGGUACUGCUAUUCCUCUGCCCAUUUGCACCUGAAGAAGGUACUGAUGAAACUGUUUGUUGUUUACUGCUACCUAAAACUGCUGUUGUUUGAGAAACUGCAUUGCUUGAGAAACUUGUAAUGUUGUGGUAUCGAAAAUAAUUUUGUGCAAUACUUGUAAUGUUGUGGUAUCAAAAAUAAUUUUGUGGAGUAUCAGAAACAGAGAAGCCUGGUUCAAGGUUUUGCACUGGAAACAGAGCAGUCUGGUUCAAGGUUGUGCACUGGAAACAGAGCAAUCUGGUUCAAGGUUUUGCCUAGAUAAACCAGACCGGAUGAGAGACCAAAUACAUGGGCAAGUAGUCAAAAGAAACACAUAAUUUGCCUAGAAUCUUGUUGUCCUGUGAUGCAAGAAAAUUUCACCAUGUGUAUGUUGUGGAACGCUUACAGUUGCACAAAUCAGACAUAUCAGUAGGUUGGUUCAGGUGUUGGUUCUUGGCCUAUUAACAUAGAAAGCCCCUUUGUAACUACUAGGACAAUCAGCUUGUGUAAAGAUCAUAUUUAGAGACGAAUUGCAAGCAUUAACCUGAUCUUAACAUAUAUAAAUGGAUAUUAAGUUUUCCAUUUUAGGCGAAUACAGAUAGAGGUUUCAACUAGACCUAGUGAGAAAUGGUUCCAUGGUAGCAUUUCUUGUUUGGCUGUCGUAGCUCGAUUACAUAUUGUUUUUACGUGCGUAUAUAUUCUUGUUACAGUACCAUGGUGUACUCAUCUUUUGUCAUUGAUAGCAGGAGUAUGGAUUUGAACAUGAUACCUCAAGAGGAGGAUGAAGGUAUUAAUUUGAAUUGGAUCCCUCAAGAGGAAGAGGCUCAAGGGGGAGAGGAUGGAGGUAUGGAUUUGAACAUGAUGCCUCAAGAGGAAAAGGAUGAUGGUAUUAAUUUGAAUUGGAUCCCUCAAGACGAAGAGGAUCCAGGGGGAGAGGAUGGAGGUAUGGAUUUGAACAUGAUGCCUCAAGAGGAAGAGGAUGAAGGUAUUAAUUUGAAUUGGAUCCCUCAAGAGGAAGAGGCUCAAGAGGAAGAGGAUGAAGUUAUGAAUUGGAUACUUCAAGAAGAAGAAGAAGGUCAAGAAGGUGUACCAGGUAAACAGAAAAGAAAAGAAUUGUCAAAUAAGGAGAGGCAUGCUGUUUACUUUGCUCUGCUAGUAAUCGAGCUCAGAGAUGGAUCUGUUCAACCAAACGACAAGCUGCUAGUAUCAAUCUUGUUGAACAUACAUGUACGAUCUAUUGAGAGAAUCUGGUCGGAGCCAAAAAGCAGAUUGCCGCGGGCCAAGAAGUAGAUGUCUCCAACAAGAAGAAAGGAAGAGUUGGUCGAAAGAGAAAAGAGCUGGAUCUUGCAAGGACCUCAACAAUCCCAUUGAAUAGAAGAAGGACAAUUCGAUCUCUGGCACGGUCUCUCGGUGUGACCCGCUCAACCCUACAUCGGAGGUUCCAGUUAAAUGAGCUCAACCGCAUCACAAACACAGUCAAGACUUACCUCAAACCAGAGAACAAGAUUGCAAGAUUGAAGUUUUGUAUGUCCAUGCUCGAUGACAAUUGGAUCUCAACUUCCCAAGCUAUAUUCAAGCCAAUGACUAAUAUGGUCCAUAUAGAUGAAAAGUGGUUUGACAUGACAAGACUAAAGAACAACUACUAUGUACUUCCAGGAGAGCCUCCACCUGAGCGCACCGUGACAAACAUUAACAUCAUUGGGAAGGUAAUGUUUCUAACGGUUGUGGCCAGAUCUCGAUACAAUUAUGAUGGAGAGCUAACAUUUGACGGGAAGAUUGGUAUUUGGGCAUUCAUCAAAGAGUCUGAGGCAGUGCGAACGAGUCACAAUAGAGCAAGGGGAACGACAGUGCUGAAACCAGUGAAAGUAACGAGACCUGUGUGUAGAGAAUAUCUGAUCAAUAAGGUUAUACCAGCAAUUCAAGAUAAAUGGCCUGACGAUGAUGAGGGAGCAACAAUAUUCAUCCAACAAGAUAAUGCAAAGCCUCGCGUUCUUCCCAACGAUGAAGCUUUUCGAGAAGCUGUGGAAGAAACUGAUCUCGACAUUAAGUUGAUGCAACAACCUCCAAACAGCCCAGAUUUGAACUGUUUGGACCUCUGCUUCCACAAUUCUCUCCAGUCUCUAACCGAUUGUAGGUCACCUACAAACAUCCAGGAACUGAUACAGGGUGUGGAAGAGGAGUUUGAGAAUUAUGAUCCUCACAAGUUGUACAACAGCUUCAUCACAUUGCAAGCAGUUAUGUUUGAAAUUAUGAAAGAUCAAGGAGGAAACCAAUAUAAGUUGCCCCACUUACACAAGGAACGUCUUCAGAAUGACGGCAGAGAAAUAACAAGUGUAUAUUGUGACAGUCAGCUAGUUGCUGAUACUAGGGCCAUUCUAGAAGAAAUGCAAUAGGAAAAGGAAAGGAAGAAAAGAAGUAGUUGUAGAAAGGAAAAAAAGAAUUGAACUUAUCUGAAUUGUACUCCUUGUGUACUCCUUGUACUCCUUGUGUAUGUCUUGUGCAAUAGGAAAAUGCAAUUGGAAUCAUUUGAGAUCAAUGAUGAUACUGGUUAUCCAACAUUUCCAUCUUGUGUAUCGGAAUUCAUUUUAAUUGUUUGGACUAAUUUGUUUGAGUUUAUCUUGAGUUUAUCCAGCAUUUCCAUCUGUAUUGGAGAUCAAUGAUCUUGUGUAUUGGAAGGGUCAUGUACAUGGGGAUGUUGCCUCAAGUUUUAUUAAAUUUAUUGUUUCAGGUUUCAGUAUACAAAGAUUACUGGGGUAUUGUCUAUAGUUUGGAUAAACCAAAUAAAGUUCACAAAUCUUUAUUCCCUUUGUGCAUAAAGUUUACAAAUCCCAAGCAUAGAGUUGGGAUCAACAAAAAAAUUCUAAGCUUACAAAUCGUGAGUGCUUUCAUCUCAAAAAAAUUCUAAGCUUACAAAUCCAGAACUGGUAGCCUUCCUUAUCUCAAUUCUCUGGUACUGAUUUUUGCUCUCUUUUUUUACCUUCCUUCAACAAGUUGUUCCUUGAACUGCAGGUACUCAGGGACAGUCAACUCCUCGUCGUCUGAAUUCUCAAGUACAGUAGUACUAGUAGCUUGGUUCAGGUUGAUUCUCAAUGAUGCCCUGCACUUGACACUAAAGCCUCCAGCCUGCAGAUAUACAAACGAAAUACAGAUACAUGCAUCAGUCUGAACCUGAAGAAGAAGGAAUGCAACCUGUGAAAUGUGUGAAAUGCUCCUACCAACAGACAAUGGAUGGUUUUUUUGUUUUGAUUGGUCUUGCUCUCGGUUUGAAGAUGAAGUGGUGUUAUUUCGCUUACCGUUGAUGUUCAAGUGUAGGCUUUUGCCUGCCCAGCACCUCUUAACCAUGUCAUCUCCUUGCAGUGCGUCUGGUUCAGGCCGAGCUCCGGGAAGCGGCUGCGCAUCAGCGGCAGCAGCGUGUCCGACGUCCCCAGGUACAUGGACUGGAAGUUGGCCUCCUGUUUCUACACGAGCACCCUGAUGAAGAGGUCUUCGGGGAGAGCUGGGGCGACUUGUUGCCAUCUGGUGAGGACGUCCACGGCGCCCUGGUCGACGGACUUCGUGACGCUGAACAUUGUCACUGUCGGGGGACGGGAACGUGCUUCACCUGCCACGAGAGCACGACGCCGAAGCUCUCGCCGACGCCGUUUCCGACGCAGCCGGAGAAGACGGCGGCGGUAGGUGGAGAAAUCAUUGCUUUUUAUGAGGAAGGGGGAAGCUUGGGGAGGCAGGCGAGUCGCAACUGCGGCGGCGGAGCGGCGGGGGACCGGGGGAGCAGGGGAGUUGCGGCAGGCGGAGCUGCAGCGGGCGAGCGGCAGCUGCGGCGGGGGAGUAGGGCAGCUGCGGCGGCGAGGAGCAGGCAAGCUGUAGCGAGCGUAGAUGGGGCAUCUGUCGGAGGAGGAGGACGAGGAGCGCGGGUUUGGUCGGGAGAAGCUGUAGGGGCUUUUCGCAAAAUUACCGUCGCGACAUUAAUUUCGGGACGGAGGGAGUAGCAUCUAAUCCUUCCAAAUAACACAGAACAUACGUGUUGCACGACCCAAAUGGGGCCCGGUCAAUGACAUCAAUCCCAUAUGUCACUCUCUGCUCCUACUACCUCGCUGUCCAUUACUUCAUGGUAAAUCUGGGGACGAGGAGGACAUGGUCGUCUGUCUGGCUCUUCACCUCCCUCGGGAGCAGUGCACUCGACCACGGUUGGACUCUAACCGGUGGAAAUCCAUGGUGUCCGUUCAAAUGUCGUUUGGAUGCGCAGGGAUGAUUGCUCGAGGCGUGCGGGCGCGGCCUCGACGGACACAGUGAUCGCCGUCCAAUUCUAGUAUGAUGAUGCAACCCCUUUGGUGGUGCCUCAUCCCUACGCCCUCGGGCUCGGAGUCGAAGAUCUGCACCGGCAUGAGUUACGGUCCAUCUUCUAACAUGGAGUGGCAUACCCGUCGUGCAAGGCAAAGGCCGCGUGGCGAGACGUAGAUGCUCUAACCACAUCUAGAUGGGAUCACAUCGAUUUAUGAUAUCCCGACUUCCCGAUCAACGAGUCUCCUCUGAUCAAAACCAUGUUACCCUAAUAUGCAUGUAAAAAAGUUAGGCUAAUAUGCGCGUAAAAAAGUUGAUUAACUGCUGCUAAAAUGGUGUGAUGUGAUAAGCCGGCCCUCCCCAACAAGAAAUAAUAACAACUGCCCCCCUAUCUCUCAUAUCCAAUUUAUAUAUGAGCCGGAUAUAGCGAGGACUGGAUGCGUCCGUCAGGUUGUAUCCGGCUCACGCUGGUUCAUCCCGACCCAUAUAUAUCCGUCUCUAUCUCCAACCUGGACGAAACCCUAGCUACUCCACCCCUCUUCUUAGCUCCGUUCCGAUGAUCUCCAGCCAUCUCCGACAUUACAGGCAGCGUCCGACACGGAGUUGGGAUCUCGCCCCAUGCGGGGAUGAGGAGGACAUGGCCGUCCGGCCGGCACUUCGCCGCCCCCGGAAGGAGUGCGCUCGACCACGGUUGGACUCUAUCCGGCAAAAACCCAUGGUGUCCGUUCAAAUCUCGCUUGGAUCCGCAGGGAUGAUGGCUCGAGGCGUCCGGGCGCGGCCUUGCCGGACGCGGUGACCACCAUAAUAUUCUAACUCCGGGAUGGCGAUGCAACCCCUCCGGUUGCGCAUCAUCCCUAACAUGGAGCGGCGUACGCCGUCGUGCGAGGCAUAGGACGCGGGGGCGAGGUGUAGAUGCUCUAACCGCAUCUGGAUGAGAUCACAUCGAUUGAUGAUGUCCGGAUAAACGAGUCUCCUCAGAUCAAAACCGUGUAAUAAUCCUACAAAAUAAAGACAUCGCCCAACGUGUUCCAGAACGCUCUGAAUGAGACCCCGCGAAUGGCAACAACCAUACCAUUUAUGAGCAAGUUUUGUCAGUCCCCCCACCCGGCCAGCCCGUGACAUCGAUGUAGCAGCUUCCGUUCCUAUUUAACCAGCGUACCAUUUGCACUACAUUGCAUCACAGCAAGCACACACACACACACACUCUCUAGAGAAAUGGCGAUGGCUAGGACGACGGCGCUCCUCCUCGUCGCCGCGGCUCUCCUGGCGGCCUCAUCCAGCGCAUGGGAGGUGAACAUCCAGAUGCCGGCGUCGGCGGCCGUGGACGAUGCUGUGGCACCGCUCAUCCACGCGCUGCGGCCGCUCCUGGGCUCCGGCAAGCAAGCCGGCGUGGCGUGCGAUAGCUGGCGGCUGGGCGUGGAGGCGCACAACGUGCGGGACUGGAAGACGGUGCCCGCCAGCUGCGAGGAUUACGUCGGCCACUACAUGGUCGGCGACCACUACCGCCGGGACUCCAAGGUCGUCAUCGACCAGGCCAUCGCCUACGUCGACUCCCUCAAGCUCGCCGGCAACGGCAAGGAGGUCUGGGUCUUCGACGUCGACGAGACCACCCUCUCCAACCUCCCCUACUACGCCAAGCACGGCUUCGGGUACGU